rnacentral:lncRNA from 1 species
UUCCAUUCCAAUAUAUGAAGCACCAGAUAGGAGGACAUGACGAAAAUAAUUUUUCAUAUAGCUACAGUUUAAUCGAAGGUGGGCCCUUGGGGGACAAGCUUGAAAAAAUCAGCUAUGAAAACAAGUUUGAGGCAGCUGCAAGUGGAGGAAGCAUUUGCAAAAGCUCGAUGAAAUUUUACACUGUUGGCGACAAUGUAAUCACUGAAGAUGAAAUCAAGGCUCUCAUUAAAGGGAGUGAGGGAGUUUACAAGCCUGUUGAAGCUUACCUCUUGGCUAAUCCCGAAGCCUGCAACUAAGAUAUAGAUUGCUUUGAAUUCUCAUGCUGCUUUUAAAGAGUGGCCAUUACUUUCAAUGGUGUGUUUUUUAUAUUUUCUCUUUCCACUUAAAACUUAAACUUUCUUAUGAUUAUUUUAAUAAGAGCGGUGGUGGUGAUCGAGCUUUGAUCAUCUUUAUUUUCAUUACUAUCAAAUAAUUUGGGUUGUAUCAUCUUUGACAUAUACUGAAAUAAAAUAAACACCAAUUCACAAACAAAAAAGGUUUUACCUAGUAUAUUGAUGAGUUAAAAUUUAUAAGACUAAUGCACGUAUUGAUGAAAAAAUAAAGUGAUAAAUAGAUAUUAUGCCUACAAGGAUCCAAUUUUAAAUUACUUAGUAGUAACUAUUUAAGUUUUAUUCAAUCCAAAACAAUAAAAUAAAAUUUAAUUAUUAUUAAAAUUAAACUAAGUUGAUUAAGAAGGCUUUAUUAAACUAAAACAAAGAAAAUUUAUAUAUGUUAAAUCCUAUAUGGAAGAAUUAAAUGUUCAUUCACCUCCUUAUAUUCUAUAUUCUAAAAAAAAUUUUGUGUUUGGACAAUUGAGUUACUUAUUUUACAAGGGCAUUAUUGUCAAUAUAGGAGGAUGUGAGUUCGAAUGUGCUGAAGCGCAUUAUCCUCCUAUUAAUAAGUUAGAGAGGGAUUAUAAAUAAUUUUAAAUAUUAUUUUUAAAAGAGCAUAUAUAAUUAAAACAUAUAAAGAGAUUGUAAAAAAGGAAAAAAAAAAAACCUUGUGCGUUUCUUGCUUACCACGAUGGGAAUAGACAAACUAACUAGUUUGGUUGCCUUAGAGAUUGAUCUUAAUUAUUAUCCUUAGUACAAUAAUUUGACAGUAAUUUUAUUAUAUUCUAUUUUCUUUAUCAUAGGGAAUUAUAACCUGUAAAAAAAUUUAAUAAAAUGAACAUGAAUUACUUCAAUUCAUAGUGUUGUAAAUCAUCUCCCCUUUCUAACGUUUGUAUUGGGAGAGCAGGUUAACCAAAACUCCUGAGCCCUACAAAAGGAACGAAGGCAUUAAAAAAACACCCAUAAAUCCUCAUGGAAUCAUUAUAUUAUCUUUGAGAGAUGCUUCAAGGUUGGAUAUUUAAACUUGUAACUAGUAUAUCAAUCACUGAUAAUUAUAGUAAAUUACUCUACUAUUUUCCGUUUUCCACAUAUAUGUGGAAGGCAAUUUCAGAUGAGGAGAUAAAAAAAAGCUUUGUUUGACAUGACUCCUUUGAAAGCUCCUGGGAGCGAUGGUUUUCAUGCUUUGUUUUUCUGAGUCAGUGGAAUGUUGUGGAAUUGCUGUCUGUGAGUGGGUUAAAAGGGUAUUUAAUGGUGGGUCAAUUGAACCAGAUUUGAAUAACACAGUCAUUGUCCUCAUUCCUAAGAUUGCGCAUCUGGAAAGUUUCCAAUAGUUUAGGCCUAUCAGUUUGUGUUCAAUCUUGUACAAGCUAGUCAUGAAAGUCAUUACUAAUCGAUUUAGGUGCAUCUUCCCUAAAUUAAUUGCGCAAGAGCAGACGAGUUUUAUUGCAAAGAGGAAUAUUAUGAAUAAUAUCCUCAUUGCACAGGAAGUCAUUCAUUCCAUGAGAGGGAAACGCCACUAGAAGUCUUGAAUGGCUGUUAAAAUUGUUCUAGAAAAAGCAUAUGAUCGAGUGCGGUGAGAUUUUACCGAGGCUUUGCUAAGACCUGUAGAUAUUCUGGUUUUUUUAUAAAGGUCAUUAUGGAUGGAAUAUCAGGUUCUCCGUGCAAGUUCUUUGGAAUGAGAUUCCAGCAUAGAAAUUUAAGCCGACGAGAGGGAUCUGUUAGGGCUAACUUUUAUCUCUGUAUUUGUUUGUUCUAUGUAUGGAAUGGCUUGGGUAUAGUUUUAGUUUGGCUAUUUCUAAUGGUCAGUGGCAUCCAAUUAGAUUGUCUAGAGCUGGGCCGGAUUUAUCACAUCUAUUCUUUGUUGAUGAUCAGGUAAUUUUUACCAGAGUUGACUUGGGUCAUUCACUACUCCUAAAGGAGAUUUUGGAUAAUUUCUACAAUAUCUCUGGUCAUUGUGUUAAGGCUCGGAAGACUAAUAUUUUUUUCUCAAAAGGGAUUAACAAGGUGGUGGGUAGUGGAAUUAGUAGUUUGCUUGGUUUCCAAAAAGUGGAUAAUCCCGGUUCGUAUUUGGGUGUUCCUAUUUUUUAAGAAAGGGUCACCAAAAGUACUCUUAGAUUUGUGGUGGAUAAGGUUCAAAGUAAGUUGUAUAAUUGGGACGCCAGGAAGUUAUCUUUAGCUCGGACAGAUACUUUAGCACAAUAUGUACUUUUAUCCAUUGCAAAAUAUUUCAUGUAGUCUUUAAUGAUUCUAACGUUCCGUUUAUUUCUUUGAAAAUGGCUUUCGGAAAAUGAUUUUUAGAAAAUGACUUAUUUUUCUGGAAAAGCUAAUAUUUUCUGGUGUUUGGAUGAAUUUGUGUAAAAUAUUUUCUUUUGUUUGGCAAGUUCUUUAAAAAUAUUUCAUAAAAGUCGUUCUCAAUUAAACAAACAUACAUUUGAGAUUUUUUUUUUCAUUGUUUAAUUGAGUUUAUUUUAUAUCUAUAAUUUUAUAUUUUACAUUGUUUUUACAUAUAUUAAAAAUAUUUUGUUAAAUUUAUGUUCAUUGCAAUGAUCCUUUUUUAGUUACAUGACUACCAACUGAGCAUUUUUUUAUUUAAAAAUGUGACAUUAACAAAAUUGACAAAAAAAUCAACAAUGUUAGCAGUUGGACUUGAUUUUCUAAUCUAGAAAGUAGAGGGGCUAAAUUCUUUAAAAUAAAAGUACAUAAACUAAAUUGCAAAUUUGUAAAGAGUAUAUAGACUUAUGACAUAUUUUAACAUUUAUACUACAAAACAUUUAUUAUUAAUAUAUUUAUAAUUGUAAUAAAUAUUUAGUAUUAAAAUAUUAAUAUUGAUAUUUUCAAUAAUAUGUGAAUAAUAUUAUUUAAAAUUAUUAUUUUUAAAAACUACUAUUAAAAUAAAAUUUAAAUAUUAAAUAAUUUAUUAAAAAUAAUAAAUUAUGUUAAUUAUAUUAAUAAUUUAUUAUAUGACUAAAUAUAAAUAAUUAAAUACGUAUGUUUAAUAAUAUUAAAAAAUAUAAUAUUUUAUAUUAAUAUUUUAAAUAUUUUUAAAAAUAAAAAUAAAAAUAAAAUUUAUUAUCAGUAUAAUAAUAUUAAACUUGAUUUAAUUUAAUUUUUAUAUAAAAGUAAAAUUAUCUAUUGAGGAGCUCGUUUCCGAAAAAUGACCUUUUCAAAAGGGUGAGUCAUUUUACAAGGAAAAAGGCUUAUUUUUCGUUGACCUGUAUGUCAUUUUCUGUUGGCCAAGCUAUUUUCUGUGAAACAAACACAGGAAAAUGCAGAAAAUUUUUUCCGUAAAACCUUUUACAUGUAAACAAACGAACCCUAAAUGAGUAUGUGAUGAGAUUGAGCGCUUGGUCAGAUAGUUUAUUUGGGGUUGGUCGAGUGGGAACAAGAAGUUGACGUUAGUUAGUUGGGAUUCAGUCUAUCAGCCUCGUUCUUGUGGAAGACUUGGGUUUCAUCAUUUGGAGGAUCAGAACAAGUCAUUUUUGUUGAAAUUGAAGUUUAAUUUGGUUUUGAACGACAAUGCUUUAUGGGUUAGGAUUCUCAUUUCGAAGUAUGGUAUGAAGGAGAGGUUGCCAGAGAGCAUUUUGAGAAGUUCAAGUUUGUUCCUUUGGAGGGCUCUAUCCAAGGUUUGGUCUUUGCUUAAAGAUAAUCUAGUAUGGUCCAUGGGAGAUGGAAUGAAGGUCGAUUUGUUAUUGGAAAGAUCAUUGGAUUGCGAGUGUAGGACCUUUGAUGCGGCUAAUCCCUUCGCAUGCUAACUUGGAUCCUGACUAUAUGCUUAACGUGACGGUAACGGUGGAUGAGGUGUGAAAUAUUGAUUUAUUUCGAGUGUGGCUGUUUCAAGACAUUGUUCGGUGUAUAGUCAGUAUUUCGACACCCCAUUCUUCAGCGGGUCCGAACAGGAUUGCUAGGAGCCAUCAACCUAUUGGAUCUUUUUUUGUUAAAAGGGCGUAUCACAUGAUUCAGGAGAAUUUUAGGAGGCCUAGAUAUGAGACUUGUAAGAGAGCAUGGAAAUUUUAAGGGGCGCAAAGAGUUCGUUUCUUUAUGUGGCUUACUUUAAAGCAAAGAUUGCUCACAAGUAUGGAAUGUGUUAGGAGAAGAAUUGGUCAGGAUCCUUCUUUCCCAGUUUGCGGCCAUGCCUCUGAAGACCUUCUUCAUGUCCUUAGAGAUUGCUCUAUGGUGAAACAUGUAUGGCUGAGCGUAGUGCCUGUAAAUCAGAGUGAUAACUUUUUCUCUGUUAACAACUUUGCAGACUAUUUAGUUUCUAACUUAUCCUCACGUUUAAAGGUACACUCUGAGGAAGUUUUUUGGUCUUGCUUAUUUGGUUUAAUAUCAUGGUGUCUUUGGAAGAACAAGAAGUUAUUCAUUUUAUAGUGUUUGACUUGGAAUGCUUAAGAGAUAAUUAAAGUUUCAGUAUGUUGGGCUCAACAAUUUUUAAAUGUUCAUUUGACUAUGAUGUUUAGUAGGUGCAUUGGAGCUCUGGUUUAAUCUUUGUUGAAUCUUUGUGUUUUUCUAUAUACUGAUGGGGCAAUGAAUGUGAGUACAAGAUGCACAUCUGCUGGUGGUGUAGUGAGAGAUCAGUUUGGUGAUUGGAUUGUCAGGUUCAAUCAUAAUUUAAGUGUUUGUCUAGUCUUUGAUGCUGAACUCUUGAGUAUUUGGGAUGUUUUACUAUUGUUAUAAGAAAAGGGGUAUGUUAAAGCCUUAAUUCUGGAAAAUUGCUUGGAGGCAGUCAAUGCUAUUCAAGAUGACUAUUUGGGGUAUCAAUUUAGGCCUUGGUUUGAUGAAUUAAGCAGAUUUUAUAGUACAAGGAGCAUUGGACAGCUAGGCAUGUCUCUAGGGAGAGAAAUCAAGUUGCUAAUCGUUUAGUUAAAAUGUUUUCUGUUUAAAUUGAUGGUAUGCAUAGAUUAAUAGGCACGCUUAGGGAGUUAAUUGAUCUCCUUAAACAUGAUAAAGUUGCUAGUGCUUUUGUUCAUUUAGUUUGAUCUUGUUAUAUCUUUUUAUUAAAAAAAUCUCUAACUAACACGAUUUAUUUUGAAUUUAAUAAAAAUAAUUUCUUAAAAUAAUAAUUUUAGACAAUUUUUAAUCAAUGCUUAUAAAAACCGUCAGCACAUCAAAUUAAUUGAACCAUAAGUCUCUGUCAGCACAAUUCAUUAUUCCCUCUAUAUAUUUAAAUAAGCAUUAUUGAAAACAAUAAAUUAAGCAAAUAAGUAGAUAAGUAGAAGACAAACUGAUACAAUAUUUGAACUCACCAAUUUGCGAUUUAAUAAGAAAGUUCUGGCUGCCUAUUUUGACUAGUACCAAUUCAAUGAAAAUUAAUAACAAUGUUGGAUAUAAAUCCAAUUAAAAAAUGAGAAUAAUAAUUUUUUACGCUUCAAGUUCAGUGUAUAAAUAGCAUCCUAGUUCUCUAUCAUCUCACACCUCAACCACUCAAUCAUCCACUUCUUCUCUUCUUUGAACUCAAAGUCCCAGUUAAUAUUAGAAUCAUGGGUGUUGUCACUUAUGACUAUGAGUCUACCUCCCCAGUCGCCCCUUCCAGGCUUUUCAAGGCCUUUACUGUUGAAGCUCCGAAAGUUUGGCCCACGGCUGCACCUAAUGCAGUCAAGAGUAUUGAGGUUGAAGCUAAUCCUAGCUCUGGAAGUAUCGUAAAAAUCAACUUUGUUGAAGGUUAGUUCUUUCAUUGGCCUUUUUGUAGUCUGUUUUACACGAGUAUGUUGGAUAACAAGUAUUUAUUUGUUUAGGCCUUCCAUUCCAAUAUAUGAAGCACCAGAUAGGAGGACAUGAUGAAAGUAAUUUUUCAUACAGUUACGAUUUAAUCGAAGGUGGGCCUUUGGGGGACAAACUUGAAAAAAUCAGCUAUGAGAACAAGUUUGAGGCAGCUGCAGGUGGAGGAAGUAUUUGCAAGAGCUCAAUGAAAUUCUACACUGUUGGCGACAAUGUAAUCACUGAAGAUGAAAUCAAGGCUCUCAUUAAGGGAAGUGAGGGAGUUUACAAGCCUGUUGAAGCUUAUCUAUUGGCUAAUCCUGAAUCCUGCAACUAGGAUAUUGGUUGCUUUGAAUUCUGAUUCUUGGUUUUAAAGAGUGGUCAUUGCUUUUAAUGGUGUGUUUUUUAUAUUUUCUUUUUCCUUUUAAAACCUAAAUUGUCUUCUAAUUAUUUACAUAAGAGUGGUGGUGAUCGAGCUUUUGUCAUCUUUAUUUUCAUUACAGUCAAAGAAUUUGGGUUGUCUUUGACAUAUAUAGAAAUAAAAUAAACAAAUAAACUCAAAAAAAGAAAAAAAAAGGUUUUACCUGGUAUAUUGAUGAGUGAAAAUUCACAAUCCAUAUUAGAGAUGUGCAUUCGGUGGUUGGAACGAUUUGAUUAUUUUAUAACAAUAAUCGAAUAAAUAAAAAUUUUUACUGCAAUUGAAUUAAUCGAACCAAACUUAAAAAGGUAAAAAUGAAACAACCGAACUGAAUUUAGUCAAUUCGAUUAGAUUUAGUUAAUCGAUUUUUGCUUUUUUUGGUUUUUAACUUAGUUGAACUCCACCGAUCCAAAAAUUCUUCACUGUUCGUGUCGGCAUGUUUGUUCCUCACAGAAUGGGAGCAAACAGUAGCCGCCUUACCUUUUGCUAUAAAAAGGAUUUUAGCCUUUGCUUUCAAAAUCAUCCCAAUCUCUCCAAGAAAGUGUGUAUACUUUAGUAUACAUUUGGGUAAUUCCUUUAAUUAAGGAUUUCAUUAGUUUGUAAUCUUUUUAGUAUUAGUGAAGUUAUCAUUAGAUAUUGGAUUUUGAGGAUGUAGAUAAUUUGUUGAAUUUCAUAAAUUUGGUGUGCUCUUAUCUAUUAUCUUAUUUAUAUUUAUUGAUUUUUUCUAUCGUAUUUGAUAUUCAAUAGUAACUUGUCGGGUUAAUCUAUAAUGUUUAGGAGGUGAGAAAAAGUCGAUAGAAAUCGAUCGAACCAACCAAAAUUCAUUUUUCUAAAUUAGUUUAGUUGGUUUCGAGUUUAACUCGGUUACAUUAGGUGAUUAACUCAAGGUAAUGUCGGCUCGAUUUCAGUUUUGAAAUUCAAAAUUAUUUUAAUCAAUGACACUGACUUUACAUAUAAAAAUAUAAUAUAUUUAAUUAUACCCAAACCCAAUAUGCCAUUUACCAUAUCUCAAUCAAGCCAAAAUUAAAUCCAAAAUUUCAAAUACCCAAACCCAAUAAAAAUAAAAUAAUAAUUUAAAAUUAAAAAUUUAAUAAAAACUAAAAAUGUAAUAAUAAUUAAAAAACAUUAAACAAAAAAAAACUAAAAUUCUAACUUUCUAACCCUAAAACCUAAUUUCCCAAAACCAAAAAAGAAAAAUCUUACCUUUGUUGUAGCCCACAGUCAUUCCCCUGACCCUGUGUUUCACCUUUGUAACGAUCCAAAUUUCAGUGGUGUAAGAAAAUACGAUUUUAAAAUCUCAUUUUCGUAAACUGGGUCCGUAAGGGCAAAAAAUAAAAAUUUAGGAAGUUAGUAUGAAAAUAGAUUGAAACUUUGUUAAGUAAUUUAAUUGAUAAAUUGGUUAAUUAAAGUUCAAUGACUAAAUUGUAAAAGUUCAAUUGAUAUUGAGUUUGUAACACCCCAUACCCGACCCGAUCGUCGGAUCUGAACUAUAAGGUGCUACACUUCAUUAACUAUUACCUAAAAUGCUCCUUUUUAGCAAUACAAUAACUCAAAUUUAUAAUGCUAACUCUUACAUACAAAUCUUUAAUUUAGUACUCUUCGGAUGCUGAGUGAAGACAAAUAGACAUUUGCAACCUAGAUAAAUAAGGGAUUUACUACCAUGUUAAGACACAUAAGGAACAAUUUCACUGGAAGUUCCAUUAUAUUGAACUAAUUUAGUGACUUGAAAAUUUGAAAUCGAUUUUUAGUCUUGGUUACAACUUGACUCAGACCCUAAGACUCCGCCUUGGGUCGCCUCGUUGUAUGCACAUUGCUACGACCACAAAAUAAGUUGCCUGAUCUUGGUAAAUUCUGGCUUGGUCACUUAUUGAUUUCUAGAAACAACUACUAAACCUACAAUUCAUAGAAACACAACUGUAAUUUCGAUUGAACCUAGUGAGUGGUCCAUACCUGGCAUCAGCAUAGCACAAAUGAACUACUAUUUCAACAUUUGGAAACCACAUGACUUUCCUUGUGAAGAACACAUCCAUCAAAUCAUGUUGGUGUGGACUUGACUGUGUAACGUUUCAUUGAUGAGAUCUUAGCGAUGUAUGAUAAAGAAUACCCAGAUAGAAACGUUAGUAUGUUGGCAAGUAAUUCCGCAAAUCCUUUCUUUAAUGAUUUUCCUUAAGGACCUUUUCGUAGUUCUUCAAAAAAUACUUUCUACGAAUUCUCACUUGUGUACUCAAGAAAGAUACUCAUGCAUCUAUCUUGUGUUAUAACUAAGUUGAAGAAUAGAUCAUAAAGAAUGCCUUCCACUAUGAACCAUUAUUAGUGCUUGAUCUAACGGCCUCUAGUAGGUGGAUCUACUUUCAACUACAUAGUCAGAUACCAAUGUUUCAAACAGUAUCUUGAACACAAUACUUACUUAGAUAAACAAUUCCUUCAUUUUGGAAGUAUAGGAAAAUACCCUUGUAUCAUCCCCCAAAGAACCUGGCGAACUGUUAUAUAUAUAAUAUGAAUUCCAUACAAUUUGCUUGUAUUGUAGGUUCAAGCAUAGAAUGUGCUACUAGCACGCAGAUUCAUUCUUGGCGUACCUAUAAAAUUAUAUUCGAAUCCCCGAAUGAACCUGCAAGCUCUCACCAAAGUGAAUUCCAUAACUACUGUAGAUGCAAAACUAUAAGGAUAAGUCAAAAAACAGUCAUAACUUGUAUCAGACUCACUUUAUUUGCUAGCACAGGCACAAUGGCCUUCUCAUAAUAGUAGAUCACCUUUUUUUGGACUCAUACAAAAGACAUAGUGUAAAAUCAUAUUUACAAGAUAGUUCCUUAUAUUACAUAGUCCUCACGAACUUUCAUAAAAGAUAGUCCGUAUAGACUUCCAGAAAAGAUAGUCUUGGAUGACUUUCCAUAUAUUAGAUAGUCCUCACGGGCUUCUACAUAUACAGUAUUGUCAUGGCCAUGGUCUUCCAUACUUCCCAUAAAGGGCUCUCAAAUGUCCCACACAAGGGGCUCUCAUAUACUGGUGCACACUAUUCUUCGUACCAUUUAAAAACUCCAUUCUUGGCUCAAUCCAAUCGAACCUCCCUCAAAGCCACCUAAAUAGUAUGCAUCACAUACACGAACCCUCAACCAAUAAUUACUAUUUAUCACACACCAGUCAUUUUAUUGAUUCAUCAUAAGCAUACUUACUACCAAUCAAUCAUAUCAAUUCAAUAUGCAACAAUGCAUCAUACCAAACCUUUCAUUUACUUAACAUAGUUAACUCACAAUCAUUUGCGGAAUUGCAUACCGUAACACAUACAAUCACCAUACAUCAUUAAUUCCUCAUAACAUAAUCAUAAUUUGUAAGCUCAUCACACACUGCAUGCAACAAGACACCUCUACUUACAGUCAUAGAAUGACUUGUCAUUUACAUAACACUAAAUUAGCCUUUUUUAGCACACAAUAUUUAAAAAGGAACAUCCAUUUAAGAUCUGAGUACUGGGACUUACUUGGAAGUUAUCGCCAAAUCCAUCUUUUAAGUCUUUUCCCCUUGUUACACUAGCCUCCUUAGUCAAUACAACACAACAACCAUUUCAGAAUCCAAUAAAACCAUUCAUUAUCAUAAAAACUCUAAUUUUUUUGCAUGCAGAGACCAUUUAAAUGAUUAUUCGUCUCUUUACCCAAAACAAAACAAAAAGAAUAGUCAACUUAAAUCCUUAACUUCCUUCUUUUCUUAAACCCGCUAAUGUAGAGAGAUUAGAAAACUUACCAGCAUGCAAAAUUUCCAAUUUCUAAAACUUAAUCCUCAGUCUCUCCCCUUUGUACACGAACGUUCCUUAAUCUUUCUCUCUUCUAUGGCAAACCAGAGAAAAUAAGAAAAACAAAGAAAAUAAAAGAACAUCCACAGAUAAAAAUGCCCCUCCUAUAUAUCAGACUGAGGGUGGAGUGUUGCAUACUUCAUGGCAAUAAAACUAUUAUAGAGCUUUCUAGAAGUUUAAGUUGACAAGGUUCCCCAAUCUAUGAACACAAAGGCUAAUUUUUUGUCUCGAGUUGCAUCUAUUGUGGGAUUCCAGGAAAGGGAUAAAAUCUUACUAGAGCAUAAAAAAAGUCCCCAUUUCACAUUCAGUAGGACAAGUUUUCAACAUAGACUUUGGAAAUACAUGGAUAACACCAUUAGUGGAAUUCUUAUCCAGUGAUUCAAGACCUUUGAUCCUAAGGAACUUGAUUGCAUUUCUUUCCUAGCCUCUUAGUGCACACUUAUUGAUGUAGUCCUCUAUAAUAAAGCUUUCCUCCAUCCGCUUUUGAGUUGCCGAUGGCCUUUCGAAGUAGUGUGUGUGAUACGGAAGGUUUAUGAGCGCAUUUGUGGGCACCAUCUAGAUGUAAGGGCCAUGGCCUAGAAAGUUUUGCAGUAGUGAUUGAGACGAAAUGAAUGUGUGGAUGAGUGAGGAAUAGGAUUGUAAGUUUGCCCAAGUUGUGGAUUUCACUUAAGGCUCUAGACAAUCGAAAAUAAAUUUGGAUUUCGACACAACCUAAAAUAGAAACAAAUCCAAGUUAGAUCUACGAAUUCAGAUAUUAAAAGAAGUAAUUAAAAUAGAUAAUCAAGAUAAAAAAAUAAUAAAAUAAAUCAAAGAUUUGAAUAAUGAAAUAGGAACAAAAUAAGAUAAAGAAGAAAAUAAAACAGAUAUAUGGAAAAGAUGAAAAUGGUGUGUAGAAGUCGUAAGGAGCCUUGAAAACCCGAUGAAUCCACAACCCCCUUCGAUUGGCAGUAAUUUUCCCUCCAAGAAAGGGCAAGAAAAUGCUUGAAGAUGAUCCCCAUAAUCUGAAUAGAUUGUUAAAACUCUUCUAAAAGAAAACUGAAGAGAAAGUCUUAAAAAGAAAACUCAAAGAUAAUUUUAUUAACUCAAAGUGAAUAAUGAAUGAAUUCAUUGUUGUACAAUGCAAAGGCCUUUAUAUAGGCUAGUUAAAUAAAUCUAAAUAAAAAUCUCAAGUAUACUAGAACUCUAAUUAACCGAAACAAGAAGUAGUUUUAAACUAAACUUUCUUGUUGAUAUAAAACUCCUAAAUAACUUAAAAUAUUUAAUAAUUAUAAAAAAAUUAGAAUAAAAAAAUAAUAAAAUAAUAAGAGAAGAUAAAUAGAAUAUUGGGCUUAUAUAUAAUAAAAAUUAAGCUUAAAACCCAAAACCAAUAUGAUUUAAACUCGAAUUAAAAGCCUGAAACUCGUAAUUUCAGUAAUAAUCCCGUCGAGAAAUUCUACUCAUGCAGUUUUCACUAAAACAAUCAUAACUUGAGUUCUCGAACUCGAAAUCAAGUGAUUCAAAGUGUGUGUCGAAGCUAAAAGAUAUAUCUUAGAACGCUAUGAAGACAUAUUAAUCUAGAAUGUCUAGAACCCAUCCAAAAAUUUGUCACAAGUUGACUAAUCUUUUCAUCUUUAAAAUUGAUAGCUUGGCUAAAUUGACUUUAAUAGAUUUCACCCAUUCCGAGCAUGUUUCAUUCCUCGUUGCCUCGAAAAGUUUAUCCUCACUUACUAACUUUAACCAAAACUUGGUUUGAUUUGGUUGACCUUUGAUCUUGUUGUUGAGCCUUGAGGUAGUGUAAGCCCAUCACAUGUAUCGAUUUGAAAGUUGACAUUUAGACUUGUUUUGUUCCCCCAUUCCUCAAGAAGAUUCGUCCUCGAAUCUUUAGUUGUAUAAAAAAAGGGAUUAGGAUUAAUAACAAUAAAAGCAAACAAAUAAUUACAUAAUCUUUCCUGUGCACCAAAACUAUCUCCAAGAUCAAAGAUAUGAUUUUUGUCUCCCAAAUUAGCUUGGAUCAAGUACCUCUCCUCCAAAAAUAAACCAUCAACACUAAAAAUAUAAAUAUUAGGCACAUGAGUGUUCAAGUAUAAAAUAAUUUGUAACUUUAUUUGAAUACGUAUGGUCAUCCAUAAUAAAUUCCAAAGAUUAGUUAAUAAUUUCACAUAAUAAUCAAAAUCCAGAAGUUUAAUAUUAUUAUGUAAAACAUCAUAUUUAAAGUCUAAGGUAGAAAAUUUUGCUGCAAGAUCAAAUGCAUAAAGUUCUUUAAUAAACCUAUCGAAUGCAACAAAAGUAACCUUUACAAACCUAGAUAAACCCAUAAAAUCAAUUGAACUUUCAAACCAUAGUUUAUUGAAACUUGACCAAUGAGAAAACAUGUUGUAAUGAAAUAUUUUACAAACAAAAUCAGUAAUAUGCUUAUUAAAAACAUUCAAAGUAUGCCUUUUUAAAUCAGAAUGUUUCCUUGCCUUUCUUACCUUGUAGCAUUUGUGGAGAAUUAUCAAUGUUUAACUUACCUCUCUCCCAUAAGGAAAAUCGUCUAUCGAUGGUAUAAUAAUAUAAUUGGAAGUCUGUCAAUGGAUCUCGAAAACCCAAAAAAUUGCGGAGCAACUUGAAAAAAUUUGUUCGAGGUGUUCCCAAUUUCCAAAAAUCAUGAAAUUUAAACUAGAACCUUCCCAAAUAACAAAAAUCUGAUUUGGAAAUUUUGGCAUGAAACUCAACCUAAAGAAUAAUUUUUUAUUUUUCUUUUAUGUUUAUGUUUUUCCUCUUUUUUGAUCACUUUUUUUUUGUGGAAAAUAUUUUUUAAUAUUCUAAAAGAGUGCUAAGAAUCAGCAUGUAAAAUUUUAGAUCUUUUGAAAAAUGUUUACCAAUUGAAAAAUAAUUUUUUUCCAAAAAGUUUUUGCGUAAAAACAAAAACUCUUUUGAGACUAUUUGCUGGAAAUCAAUUUAUAAGAACACAAAGAAUAUCUAAAAUGCCCAAGAAUUUGAUACCAAAUGAUAAGGUGACAGGGGACAUGAUUGUAAGUUUGUUCAAGUCACGGAUUUGACUUAGGGCUCUAGAUGUUCGAAAAGAAACAUGGAUUUUGGCACAACCUGAAACACAAUGAAUCCAAGUCAGAUAAAAAAAUAAAUGAAAAUAAUUGUGUAACACCCCAAAGCCGGCCUAGGAGUUAUGAUCGUAUCUAGUGUGUCACAUUGAAGUGUUUUUCAAAAAAUUUGACUCGUUGAAAAAAAAACUUGUUUCUAAGUUUAAAAUAAAUAAGCAAAAGCCCAAUUAAAAAUAUAAGCUACUUAAAGGCCUUAUUACAAAAAUAAAACCCAACAUUAAAUUAAAUAAAAAUUAAAGUAAAUUUUAAAUAGCAGCAGUUGUGUGGCCACCUCUAAGUCUCUCGCAGCACCGAAUCGCCUAAGGCUUAGGAUUACUUGCACAGUUAGAAGAGAGGGUGAGUUUACGAAAACUCAGUGUGUAAUCCUCUACCAAAUAAUCAGCAUACAACAUGCAGAAUCAGUCUGGGCUAGAGCCCUAUACAGUAACAGUGUGUAGGCCAUAGCCCAAUAUAGUAACAGAGAGUGGGCCUUAGCCCAAUACAAUAACAAAGUGUGGGCCUUAGCCCAAUACAGUAACAAGGCAAAUGCAGUAAUGCAACCCAUCCCAAUCAAGCCAACACACCACUCCGUACCACCAACACACCAUGUAGGGAUAAAAUUGACCCACCCAGCCAACACACCAAUAUCGCAGCAAAGCUGCCAGUAAUAGUAACGCAGCAAAGCUGCCAGUAACAGUAAUGCAGCAGAGCUGCCAGUAUCAGUAACGCAACAAAGCUGCCAGUAACAGUAUUUGUGGCAAAGCCACCAGUACAAUACACUUCCCCCAUAUCAGAAUCCCAACCCUAUGCAGUAUGUCAUAAAUCAUACGUGUAUGCAGUAUGUCAUACUCAGUAACAGUUAUAUAUAUAUAUAUCAUAGAACAAGUCGUUCAUACACACAUUUCAAUUCUUAGGAGCAUAAUAGUCAUUUUACCCUAUGGAGGUGUUUCAGUCAUUUUACCCUUUGAGGGUAUUUCGGUCAUUUUACCUUUCAAGGAUAUUUCGAUCAUUUUACCCUUCGAGGGUAUUUUAGUAAUUUUACCCUUCGGGGGUAUUUUGAUAAUUUUACCGUUCAAGGGUAUUUCAGUAAUUUUACCCUUCGGGGGUAUUUCAAUAAUUUUACCCUUCGAGGGUAUUUCAGUAAUUUUACUCAUCAAGGGUAUUUUGAUAAUUUUACUCAUCGAGGGUAUUUCGAUAAUUUUACCCAUCAAGGGUAUUUCGGUAAUUUGCCCACAAAUCGUACGUAGGGCUCAUCACUCGAGCGAUUGCACGCCCGUGUGGUCUCAAACGUCAUGUUCACGGCUUUUUAGCUUUUGCCGAUUUGCAGUUAAGUGAGGGUGUGAUUACACACCUGAUUGCGAAGGCGCACCUAAGUCUGCGAACACCUAAAAUCUGCAUUCAAACACGUUUUCCAUUAGACGCUAAACAAGAAAGACUAAUCACCUUCUAAACAUCCUUGAUCAAAACCAAUUUAUUACUUGCCUUGACUAACAAAAGAAUGGCUUAGCCACUUGCAAACGAUGUCGACUGAUUCAAUCUUGCUAACAGAUAUCUGCAAUGCUACCACACAUUAAUCGGUAUUGCUUAUUCAUGUGGUUGAAAUCCAUACAUAAUCAAAAAGAGAACCAAGAACAUUUGGCCUUCAUAUAAGAAUACUAGCCUACCUACCUUGGUCGAGGGAUGAGAGGAUGAUUUCAACAAAUUUACAACGCUUACACCGUACCACUUCUCGAGGAAAAACCUUAAUACCACAAUAGGCAGCACAUCGAGAGAAAAGCAUCAAUAAUAAAAAAAUCAAAGUAUUACAGAGGAGGCUAUUUGAUUUUAGGUAAAGAGAAAGAAGGGAACAGUAGCACUUACCGGUAGUCGAUAAUACUUGUAACACAAAAUAAAAAAGGAGAAAAAGAGAAGUGCAAAGAAGAUUCGACACAAAAAGAGAAGAAAGGGAAAAGGAUUCGGUAGAUAGGAUACCAAAGAACUAUUCGGCCACUCCAACAAAAGAAUAAAAUGGAAGUAGGAGAAGGCAGAUGAACAAACCUGAGAGGUUCCCAAGAUCCUUUGGGAAAAAUGGCACAGAAAAAACAAAAGGGGAGAAAGAAAAGCCAAACAAAACUGAAAUUGACCAAAAUUUCAACUGUGAAUGAGAGAAUUCUCUUAAAUAUAGAAACUUUACCAACCAAAAGACCAAUUCGGCACUAGUAACCCCCUAGCCGAAUUUCUUAGAGUGCCAGACUCCAAAAUCUGCACAACUCUUCUACUCAUCAACUCCUCGAUUUUCUCCUCAAAUCUCUCUUGUUAUCACUCCACCGAUUUCUCCUCAACUCCCUCUAUGACCAAUUCAAACUUCCUUCGGCAGUAUUUCACUCCAACUCUGCCACUUACAAGACUCAAGCAGCAAAAUAAAUACCCCAUUGCGCAACCCAAGACUUGAACCCCUGACUUCUCAGACACUUCCAAACACUCCUAAAUCACUUAACCACUGAAGCAGACAUUCAUUUAUGUCACUUUCUGUCACAGCUAAAUAUUUAUGUGCAGUGUUCGAACUGUUCCCUUAUUCAAAACAUAUUUCUUCUAGGCCCAAAAUUUGGGGUGUUACAAAUUAAAAUAAAUAACUAUGAUAAAUAAAAUAGAACAAUAAAGAAGAAAUUAAAAAAUAUAGAUGAAAAAGAUGGAACAUGGAGUGGAGAAGUCCUAAGGAGCCUUGGAAACAAGAAGAAUCCAUAACCCCCUUUAAGUGACUCUAAUUUCCCCUCCAAGAAAGAAAAAUUGACAAGAAAAAUUUUGAAUAUGAUCUCCACAACCAGAAAAGAUUGUUAAAAAUCUCCUAAUAGAAAACUCAAGAAAAAUUCUUGAGAAAAGAAAACUUAAAGAGAAUUUAUUAACUAAAAAGAGAAUUUGUUGAAUAAUAAUGAAUUGAUUUGUUGUAUACAAUGCAAAAGCCUUUAUAUAGAUUAGCUAAAUAAAUCUAAAUAAAACUCUUAAAUAUACUAUAACUCUAAUUAACCUAAACAAGAAGUAGUUUUAACUUGAAUUUUCUUGUUGACAUAAAACUCCUAAAUAACUUAAAAUACUUAAUAAUUAUAAAAAAUUAGAAUAAAAAUAAUAAAAUAACAAGAGCUAAUAAAUAUAAUAUUGUGCUUAUAUAUAAUAAAAAUUAAGCAUAAAACCCAAAUCCAAUAUGAUUUAAACUUGAAUUAAAAGCCCAAAACUCGUCAUUUCUGUAAUAAUUACUAUAACUUGAUUAUUUGUUACAUGACUAGGCGUGUGGGUUUAAUUGGUAUCCUUGAAAUGAAAUGCCUAGGCUUGUUAACAUCUUCCACAUGGGCUUGUCGUCAUAGAUUGAGAUUUUAGGCCCACAAACAAGAUUGGUCUCUUCUAAUUCAUCCUCGCUCUGUAUUAAACUCCAAAAUCCAUCAUCUUGAAGCUUCAACUCUUUUUCUCAAACUUUUUUGUGAUAAAGUCUUAAACGAAUAAGUUGAGUUUUGACUUUAACUACUUGGAUUUAGAUCUCGUGAUUGGGCACUGAGGGAAACUAAGUCCAUCUUUAUUAUAACCUUUGAAUUGGACCGGGUUGCUCGUAUCAUUGCCUCAUCCACAAAAGGGUUCUUCAUUGAAUCUGCAAUAUCAAUGGGAGAAAGGUCAACGACAUUAAAAGUGGCACUAACAUUAUGCUUAUCGAAAAGAUCGAUUUGAUAUGCAUUAUCAUUAAUGUGCUUGAGUACUUCAAAAGUUCCAUCACCACGUGGGUCCAAUUUUUCUUGCUUCUAGUCGAAAAUCCUUAUUUUCUCAUAUGGACCCAAACCUAAUCAUCAGGCUAAACUAUAACUUGCUUACACCCCUAGUUAGCUUUGUUGGCAUUCGUUUCAUUUGUUUUGGCGAUUUGUUGCCUUGCUUUCUCGUGCAUGGAUUUCACUAAUUCAGCUUUCUUCUCACUAUCCAAACUAGAAAUUUUUUCUAUAGGAAAUGUCAUAAGAUCAAGUACAGUUAGUGGAUUAAAACCAUAAACAAGUAAAAAUAGGGAAUAGCCAGUUGUAAAGUGAAUAGAUCGGUUAUAUGCAAAUUCAACAAAUGGAAAACAUUCUUCCCAACUAUUAAGGUUCUUACCCACAACAACUCGUAGUAAAGUACCUAAGACUCGAUUGACUACCUCAGUUUGUCCAUCAAUUUGGGGGUGACAUGUAGUAGAAUAUAAUAAUUUAGUAACAAGAUUACCAUAAAACACUUUCCAAAAAUGGCUUAGGAACUUUACGUCUUUGUCAGAUACAAUGGUGUGGGUUAUCCCAUGUAGGCGCACUACCUCUCUAAAAAGUAAGUCAACCACAUGUGUUGCAUCAUUCAUUUUGUGGCAAGGAUUGAAGUGAGCCAUCUUUGAAAACUUGUCAACAACAACAAAAAUACUAUCUUGACCCUUUCUAGUUCGUGGCAAACCAAGAAUGAAAUCCGCGGAUAAGUAUACCCAUAGUGAAGAAGGAAUCGACAAAGAAGUGAAAAGUUCAUAAGACGUUACCUUAGAUUUUGCUUAUUUACAAGCAAUACAUUUAGAAUAUACCUUUACAACAUCCUUCCUCAUGUGCCGUAAAUAAAAAAUGUUCUUGUAAAAUAUCUAGUGUUUUGGCGACACCAAAGUGUCCCAUUAAGCCCUCAGUACAUACCUCACGAUUUAAUAACUCUCUCAUGGAACAUUGUGGAACACAUAAACUGUUUAGGCAAAAUAGAAACCCAUCUACAAGAUAAAAGUUGUUAAAGGCAACAUUCUGACAAUUAGAAAAAAUAUUUGCAAAAUCAAUAUCAUUUAAGUAUAAAUCCUUUUUAUGUUCAAACCCUAAGACUUUAGCAUUUAAUGUAGUUAUCAAAGAAUAUCUACGAUAUAAGGCAUCAACAACUACAUUUUCUCUACUUGUUUUGUACUUAAUUACAUAUGCGAAUGUCUCUAGGAGUUCUACGCAUCAAGCGUGUCUUUUUCUCAACUUACCUUGUCCCUUUAACCAUUUUAGGAAUUCUUGAUUUGUAUGGAUAAAAAAUCAUUUGGCAGCAAGUAAUGUUUCCAAACUUGUAGAACUUGAACUAAUGUAAGCAACUCCUUAUCUUAAGUUGAGUAGUUUAAUUGCGCCCCAUUCAAUUUUUCACUAAAGCAUGCGAUAGGGCUCUUGUCUUGCAUCAAUACAACUCCAUUUCCAAUAACUGAAGCAUGACAUUCAAGUUCAAAAGUAUUAGAAAAAUUAGAUAAUUUAAGAACAGAAGUAGAACAUAACUUAUCCUUUAAGGCUUGAAAAGCCUUUUCCUGAGCUUCUCUCCACUUAAAAUUCACAGACUUUUUAAUAACCUCAAUUAAUGGGGCAACAAUAGUGGAGAAAUCCUUCACAAAACAUCUAUAAAAACUUUCUAAACCAUGAAAAGAUCCCACCUCAUUAAUUGUUUUAGGAGUGGGUCACUCCCUAAUUGCCUUUAAUUUGUCCUUAUCGACAUGAAUACCUUGAGCACUUACUAUAAAACUAAAAUGGCUAGUUUAUAACAACAAAAAUUGCAUUUAUCAAGGUUGGGAAGUAACUUUUCAGUUCUAGGAAUGUCCAAAAUAAAUUUAACAUGGAAAACAUGAUCAUCUAAAGAAGUUGAGUAAAUCAUAAUAUCAUCAAAAUAUACUACCACAAACUUACCUUAAUAAGGCCUUAAAACAUGAUUCAUUAUUCUCAUGAAAGUACUAGGUGUGUUAGUUAGACAGAAGGGCAUAACAAGUCACUCAUACAAUCCAAACAUAGUUUUAAAGGUUGUUUUCCAUUCAUUCUCUUCCCUCAUAUGAAUUUGAUGAGAACCACUUUUUAAAUCAAAUUUAGUAAAAAUUAUUAAACCUUGUAACUCAUCAAGCAUGUCAUCAAGUUUAGAGAUUGGAUGCUUAUACUUUACUGUUAUUUUAUUGAUAGGGCAACAAUCAACACAUUCAGAAUGAACCAUCCUUCUUAGGCACCAAUAGGACCGGGACGGCACAAGGGUUCAAACUUUCUCUAAUGUACGCUUUUUUUAAUAGCUCUUUCACUUGCCUUUGUAACUUCUUUGUCUCCUUGUGAUUGCUUCGGUAAGCUGGACAGUUUGGAAUUGUUGUACCAAGUUCUAAGUCAAUUUGGUGGUCAAAACCUAGCAAAGUUGGUAAACCUUCAGGUGGCUUAUUAAAAACAUCCUCAUAAUCUCGCAAAACAGAUGAAAAGACACUAGGCAAAAAAUCAUUAAGGUUAGCUAAAGUUAAAAAAAAAACAUCCUCAUCCACAUUAUCUCGUUGUAUGAGCAUUUUCAUCUCCUUGAAGUAAUUUGUAAGGCCCUAAAAAUAAGUCUGGCAGUUUCGGGUAAGUUUAAUGGGUUCCAAGUGAAAAUUAGGAGUUAAUCAGGUUUAUUAGUAAUUUUUAUUAGUUAGUUAGCUUAAUUUCAUUUAAAAAUAAGGAAAUAAUAUUCCAGAAAUAAAAUAUUUUUAGAAAAAUUAAUUUUAUAGUCUUAAAUAAUUUUUGGGUAAAAUAAAUAUUUUGGGUCGAAUUAGAAUUGAAAAAUCAAUUAAAAUGGGGGUUUAAUUGAGAGAAUUCAAAAUAUUGAUUACAUAGGACCAUUUUGCAAAACAAGAGAAAUAUUUGAGUGGUUCUAUGGAAAAUUACCCAUAUUUUUAGAAUUUUGGAGGGAAAAGAUUAUUUAGUAAAAGAAGGGAAUUGCGGGAGUGGCCUGAUGACAAUUUCCCCAAUUUUUGGAAAUCAGGUGGGGGUUCUUUAGUUCAAAAACGCUGCAGCCUCCUCACUUCACACACAAUUAUCAACUGAUUUCUAAGCAUUUUCUCUCAUUUUUAUUUUUCAUUUUCAAAGUCCACAUAUCAAAGAUUUGAUCUCAUCUUUUAUUCUCUCAAAAUUCUCUAGAAAAGAUUUCUAAAGUUGAGAAAAAACUCAUCCGAGUUCUUCAAAGAUCUUGAUCCAAUCUUCAAUAUUGGUGAUUCUAGAUCGAUUGAAGGUAUUUUCUCAAGUCUAAAUUCAUUCUAACGUUGUUUUAAUCAUUAUUUUCAAUCUAAAUUGAUUAAAAUAGCUUUUCAAAUCUUGAUCUCUUAGCUAUUGAACAUGAGAUUCAUCAAUGGUGAAUUCAUGGUUUUGAUUUGGAGUCCAAGUUUAAAUGGAUAUUUAAGCUCAAACUCGUUUGGUUGAUCAUUUUUGACAAAUCCAUUUUUUUAACUAAAAACAUGAGUUGAUUUUCUGAAAAAUUAUGAAACGGUUUGUUUGGUGAAAUUGAUGUUUAGGUUUUGUGUUGAUAGAUUAGGAAUGAUGUUUAGAAAUCAUUUUUGGUGUAGAGAAGGUCAUUUGGGUGUUGAAAUUUGUGUUUCAGAUCGAUCAUGAGUUUUCAGUAAGGCAGAUUGGAGAGGCGUUUUAGAUCUGUGUAGUUCAUGAUUUUUCAAUUUUAUUGUUUUUAAUGAUAACUUGUAACAUGUAUUUUACCUCUGCUUAAGAUCCACAUCGAGGAGGGGCCACUGCUGAUUAGAAUUGAGGUCUAAACACAACUACUUGAUACACUUUGGCUUGAAAAGCAAAGUGUGAAUGUGAGUGGUUUUUAAAGGAAAUUGGUAAACAUGAUUGUUUACAUUCUGAAUUGAGGUUUUGAAUUGUGUUUCUAGUGAUUCAAUUGUAUCUCAAAUGGUUUACAUUUCAAAUUUGAUUUUAAUUUUAUGAAAGCAUAUUUGUAAAUGAUUUAUGGAAACUAUGAAUAGAGUGUUUGAUAUGGUUGAUUUGAAUUAGAUUGAUUAAUAAUUGGAGCAUGGAUUACUAUAUAUUAGAUCACUUAAUGAUGAUUUUAUAGUUGGUUUUAGAUCCAUGGACAAAGACACUUAUUGAGCUUAUCUAUGUUGAUGUUAAAAUUACUAAGUGACAUGCUUUAAAUUAAAUUUUUAUAUCCUGAAUUAAGUGCUUAAAUAUCAGUAUUUAUGCCCUGUGUGUUUGGUUAUAUUGGCAACAUUGCAUGGUGGAUCCAUUAGAUAUAGAUGACAUACCAUAGGAUUAGUGAGUACUCACCACUACAUGUGUUAUUUGUGAGCAUACGGCUUUAUGAGUAUUGACAUUGCUGGAGUGAAUAAGGGAGUGUUGAGCCUUUUUUCUCCACUCAAUCAUUGGAGAUUUCGAGGAAACAUAAAGGAGUGUAUGGCUACACCCCACUGAACCGGAGUAUUGUAUUCGAUAUUUGGAAGAUUGGAGAUCCGUUUAUCCAAUGCAUGAUCACAUGUUUAUAUUUUGCUAUGGAUGUCAUUUGCUAAUAUAAGUGUGUGCUUGUUAAAUAUAAUAUGUUUUCAUAUGCCAUAAUAAAUGUGAUUUUUACUCAUGGAAUAACAUGUGGAAUUAUGAUGUUAUGAUGUUGCAUUGAUGCUGGAAAUUUCAGUCAAUUGAAUGCCAUAAUUCAGCGUGAAAAUAUAAUUGAAACUAUGAAUCAUAUAACUGAAAUUUGAUACAUGAUUUGCCUUGGUUUAAGUAUGUCUUUGGUGUGAUUUACUUAUUUAAUUUAUGGCCAUUCACUGAGAUUUUUCAGCUCACACCCUCACAGCUUUGUGCAGAGUUUUUCUAGCUUUGAGGAUUCGAGGAGCAAGGGCAAGGUUGGUCCAAGUUUAAUUCUACUUGGUAGUAUAGAUUAAGGGCUUUUCUAUAGAUAAAUUCAAGGGAAUUGUGGCACUCAAUUGGGAUAAUUUGAUACACUUGUAAUGGAUGUUUGAGACUUACAUUUGGAUAUUAAUUUUGAGAUGUUAUAUUUGUUUUUUUUUAUGUUUGGUUUUAUGGUUAAAUGUUGAGUGUAGUAUUGUAUGUUGCUAAGUGAUAACAUGGUGAUUGAAAAUAUGGUGAUUGAAGCAUGAAAUUCUCACUAAUACAUUUUAAUCGUAGUUUGUCAAGGAGUGGAUAGCUUUGUGGCUAAGGUAAGUCUAUUGUAUGUUUUAAUUGUUGUUCGUUAAGCAUGAUUUUGAAUGUUUAAAUUAUUAAACACAUGUUGUUUAUUAGUUGUAAUUAGAUUAAUUAGAGUUGUAUGUAUGAUUAAGGUAAUAAAACUUAGCUAAUAUAGCUUUAAUUAAUAAACGAAUUAAGGGAAAAUGACUAGUUAAAAAGAAUAUCAGGGGUUUCACUAAUUAAAAAUAAUAUCAGGGGUUUCAUAAAUUGACUAUAAGAAACUUAGUAACCAUUUAGAAUUAAAAUCAGGUUUGUUUAGCUUUAAGUGCUGAAAUGACCUAGAUACCCUUAGGGUUAAAUUCCUAAAGGAAGUUUUAAAAUGGUUCACAAAUCGCUUUUGCAAAAAGAUUAGAUAGUUAUUAGUUAGAAAUGGGGUGUUAUAAGGUUAGGGUGUGCUUUAGGUGAUUUUGUGCUAGAGAGUCACUUCAGUGACUAAUGUGUCUAUAACAUCCCUAACUCGUAUCCGUUGUCGAAAUAGGGUUACAGAGCAUUACCAUACAAAUAGAACAGUAAACCAUUCAAUUCAUACAUCAAUGCAAAUAUAAUCUAACUACAUUCAAUUACAUUCAUAAUGUCCCUUAAUCGAACCCUCCAGGCCCUAAAAAUACUUUAGAAAUAAUCCAGGACUAAAUCAGAAAUAUUGUACUUGUACAUCUGUUUCAAGUCACAAUACUUCUUCGUACUACCAGGAGGAAUAAAAUACGUAGUACUGUGAGCUUCAGACAAAUUAUCUCUUUUCAAAUCUGAAUCAUUUGGAACACAAAUUCUAUCACUAUAACGCAAUGUACCGUUAUCAGUAAUAUUGUACUCAGUACUGAUGUCAUUCUGAACCAAUUUUUGUUUCAACGUCAACUUUGGAUCUUUUUUUUGCAAUUCCCAAAUCCAUUGUAGAAAUAGGGGUUUGGUUCUCAACUUUGCCAGCAUAGAACCAUCUUCAUUCAGAGCUAAAUGAGCGUUCAACACUCGAAGUGCAAACAAUGACGACUUUAAACUGAGUGCAUCUGCGACCACAUUAGCCUUUCUCAGAUGAAAAUCAAUAACCAAAUUAUAACCUGUCAGUAGCUCUAACUAAUGUCUCUGUCUUAAAUUCAGUUCUUUCUAAGUCAUCAAAUACUUUAAACUUUUGUGAUCCGUAAACACAUGACAUUUCUCGCCGUAUAAAUUAUGUCUCCUAAUCUUCAAAGCAAAUACAAUCGUGGCCAGCUCAAGAUCAUGAGUAGGAUAAUUCUUUUCAUGUGGCUUUAGCUAUUGAGAAGCAUAAGCUACUACUUUUCCUACCUGCAUAAGCACACAACCGAAAUUGUUGAAAGACGCAGCACUAUAAACAACAUAUGCUACCUUAAAUUUAGGCCAAGUCAACACUGGAACUUCUGUCAACAUGUUUUUCAAUUGAUCAAAACUCUGUUGGCACUUCUCAGACCAAAUAAACUCAACAUUUUUCUAUAGUAGUCUAGUCAUCAGUGAAGCAAUAAUCGAGAAGUUUUUAACAAAACGUCGAUAGUAACCUGUUAAACCCAGAAAACUUCGUACCUUAGAAAUAUUCUUCGAAAUUGUCCAAUUCAUCACAGCAAAAACUUUACUCGGAUCAACUCAAACCCCAUCAGCUAAUACUAUGGAACCCAAAAAUCCAACCUCUCGAAUCCAUAAUUCACACUUACUGAACUUUGUGUACAACUAUUUUUCUCUCAAAGUCUGUAACACGAUUCUCAAAUGUUGAGCAUGCUUGGAUUCUAUCUUGGAAUAGAUCAAUAUAUCAUAAAUAAACACAAUAGCAAAUCUAUCCAAAUGAGCUUGAAAAACUCGAUUCAUUAAAUCUAUAAAAGCAACAUGAGCAUUAGUCAAACCAAAUGGCAUUACUAGAAACUCAUAUUGACCGUAACGAGUUUUCGUCUUUGAUGGAUCACAAUCUUUAACCUUCAAUUGAUAGUACCCGGAUCUGAGAUCUAUCUUCGAUAACACUGUGGCACCUUUUAAUUGAUCAAACAAAUUGUCAGUUCCUGGCAAAGGAUACUUAUUAAUUAUCGUGACUGUGUUCAAUUGUCUGUAGUCUAUACACAAUCUCAAAGAGUCAUCUUUCUUUUUCACAAACAAUACUGAUGCACCCUAGGGAGAUACGCUCGGUCGAAUAAAGCCUCUAUCUAAUAACUCUUGCAAUUAUGCUUUCAAAUCUUUUAAUUCAAUUGGUGCCAAACAAUACGUUGAUAUUGAUAUCAGUGUAGUUCAAGGAGUUAGAUCAAUCACAAACUCAACUUUACGAUCAGGAGGCAAACCCGCUAACUCUUCAAGAAACACAUCAAUAAACUCAUUAAUAAUUGCUAGUUUAUCUAACUUCGAUUUUGAAUCUCUGAUAUAAAAAAUGUAUGCUAGAAACGCUUCACUACCUUUGCGUAUCAAUCUCUAUGCAAAAAUAGCUGAAAUGAUUGGAACAGCAUUUUUCGGCCCAUCAGACUUAACUAAAAUCACCUAUUCUAUCUAACAUUUCAAAUCAAUCUAUUUCUGCCUACAGUUUACUACAACAUCAUGCAACGAUAGCCAAUCCAAACUGAGAAUAAUAUCAAAUUCUUGAAAGGGUAGUAACAUCAAAACAGCAGGGAAUUCACAGCUUCUAACUUUUCAUGGACAUUUACAACAAACUAAGUUAACUAUCACACUCUGACCUAGUGGAUUAGUAACUUGAAUAUCAUAUUUAGUAGAUUCAACAUAUAAUUUCUUUUUCAUUACUAAUGCAGUGCAAAUAUAAGAAUAAGUUGACCCAAGGUCAAUCAACGCAUACACAGUAACAUCAAAGAGAUAAAAUAUACCAGCAAUCGCAUUAGGAGCAGUACCUUCCUUUCUGGCUCGAAUGUCAUAUGUGCGAGCAUUUACUCUAGCCUCUGAUCAAACAACAGUGUCCUUUACUCUUGUACAAGUAGUCCAGUAGUACUAUUUUGGCCCGGACGUCUACCUUUCUGAGAUGUAGACAUUUGCUUCUCAUUUUGUUCUUCAUUUUCUUUUAACUGUUUAGGACAAUUUCAGAGAAAGUGAUCAGUCGACCCACAUUUAUAACAGAAUCCUGACUUAGUUCUAUACUAGCUAAGAUGAAAUUUUCCACAAUGUCUACAACUGGGCUUCGGAGCGUUCCGUACACUUCCCAUACUAUCAACUAGUUUAAUAGGAGCUUUAAAGUCAUGCUGAAUCGAUUUACGUUUGUUCGGAUGUUCAGACACUGAAAUAGCUCGACUAAAGUCUUAUUUAGUUUUCUUUGCUGGUGAUGCGGAAAACGAUUUAGAAGAACUUCUCUUGUGAAACUCUCGAAUCCGUUGAUCUCUUUUUAUUUACGAUUGUACACUUCUUCCAUUUUCUAUGCACGACCGAAUAAAACAAUAAAUUCUUGAAUUUCAUUACCUCCGAUCAUCAUUCGGAUUUCAUCAUUCAGGCCAUCUUCAAAUUGGAUACAGAUCUCUUCUUCAAUGGGCACAAUCUCUCGGGCAUAGUUACUAAGAUAUACAAAUUCUCUCUUGUACUCAACCAUCGAUUUAUUUCCCUGAUGUAACAUAAGAAAUUCUGUCUUUUUCUUGUCUAGAUACUAUUUCUCGACAUACUUCUUUUUAAACUCGUUCUGAAAGAUAUCACAGGAAAUUUUCUCCCUCGGUACCAAAGCUACCAACGUUGUCCACUAACUGUACGAUUCCUCUUUUAGUAAUGCAAUGAGACAUCUAAGAAAAUCAUCAGGAGGGCAAGCCAUUUCUUCGAAAACGCGUAAGAUUUUCUAAAGCCAAUACUCAGCUUUAACCGAAUCAUCUUCUGAUCUACCUCGAAAUUCUUCAGCACCACACUUUCUAAGUUUCUCAAUCGAAAUACUUCAACUAGGCUCAAUCACGAGAGGAGCUAGAGGUGCAACUGGAGGUAUAACAUGAGGUAUAAAAGGGGGUAAAGGUCAUUGACCCAGAGUAUUCAUUUGCAUAAACUCAUUGAACCAUUGGUUCAUAAAUCCAAGGAACAUGUAUUUAUGUUUAUGCUUCAGUGUUGGAUGAAUUGAAACAUUACUACUCGUCCCAUGAUUAAAGGUCGGUAAAUUACUAUUAACCUCAUCAUUGUCGACAUGAUCAGAUCCAUCUGACAUCUUUAUAAUCUAAAAGAAAAACAAAGGUUAGAUCGGAUAAAACACAUCACACUAUCACAAAUUUAUAUGGCAGGUAAUUCUAGGCAUUUCACAUGCUACGUUUAGUCUGAGAACUGACUAAACCGUAGCUCUGAUACUACUAAAUGUAACACCCCUAACUCGUAUCUGUCACCAAAAUAGGGUUAUGGAGCAUUACCAUACAAACAAAAUAGUAAACCAUUCAAUUCAUACAUUAAUGCAAAUAUAAUCUAAUUAUAUUCAAUUUCAUUCGUAAUGUCCCUUAAUCGAACCCUCAAGGCCCUAAAAAUAUUUUAGAAACAAUCCGGGACUAAAUUGAAAACAUUUGGAAAGUUUAAGAAAAAAUUAGAAAAUUUGGAUUGUAGGGGUCACACGGCCGUGUAGCCAGGCUGUGUGCCUCACAUGGUUAAGACACACACUCGUGUCUCAGGCCAUAUAACCUUCAAAAUAGGGACACACGACCGUGUCCCAGCCUGUGUACUCACCUAUGGAACUCUCUGAGCUGCAUUACACGACCAAGCCACACGCUCGUACGCUAGGCCGUGUAACGCUCAGAAUAGCCUUACACGCCCGUGUGCCAGGCCGUGUUCUAGGCUUUGUAACUGUUUGACUUGUGAGCCUUAAACCUAUAGGGGACACACGACUGUGUCGCAUGGUCGUGUGUCACAGACGGCUGAGUCAUACACCGGUGUCUCAGGCUGUGUGGACCUAAAAUGAACCUUAUACCAUAGGUUUACCAUUUCAAACUUACUUGGAUCCUAGUAAACUAUUUACCAACCAAAGCACCUAUUGAAAAUAACAUUAAUCAAGCAAAAAACAUACCAAAUCAAUCUAUUAAGUGUCUAACCAAUGUACCCUUAUUGGUACCAUAAGUAUAUACAAUUUUACAUCAAAAUAAAACCUCAAACACAACUUAUCAAUUCAUAAAAUUAACACGUAACCAAUGUACCAUUCUAUUUUCAUUGAAACAUCUACCUCAUUCACAUUCAUUAUAUAAGUUAGCAAUUCAUACAUAAUAUCUUACUUAGCAUUUUACUAUUUUCAAAACAUUAGUAAUAUCAACACAGAAGCCUAUUACAUGCCAUAUAAACCAAAUCAAACAUUUCAAAAACUAUCGAGUUAAGCUGAAUAGUGUAACUUGAGUGCUGAACUGAUCAUCCAACCUUUCGAGUAUCUACAAGAACAUUAAAUAACAAAAGUAAAAUAAAUGAAGCUUAGUAAGUUUAAUGUAUUUAAAUGAAAAAUGUUACCGAAGUAAUUACAACAAUUCAAACAAUAACUAUUCAACCAUGAAGGUUUCAUGUCAUCCACAAUCUCAACUAAAAAAUCACAUACAUUCAAUUUAAUGCUCAAAUGUAUAGCAAAUCCAUCAAAUUCGUUAAACAAAUUACCUUACUGAGAUUUUCAAUUCGAAGAAUGACUUACGGAUAGAAGCGCAUCGUCAAUCCAACCAUAACACGCCAGAUGCUCAUAUGAGCGAAUCCCUCCAAAACACACCAAAUUCUCACAAGAGCUAGUCCAACUGAAAAACGCCAAUGCUCAUAAGAGCUAGUCCAACCGAAAAAUGCCAAUACUGAUAAGAGCUAGUCCAACUAAAACACGCCAAAUAGAGAGUAUAACAGGAGACUUCGCAACAAAUACUGAACCUCAAUUUACUCGGGAAAUAAAUAUAUACAUCCCUCUAAAACCAUCUCCACUCGAAUCCCCCACAACACACCAUAUCACGAUUAUACUCUAUCCCGCAUUCAAUUCAACCCGAACAUCAAAUUCAAUAACAUAUCUCAAAUAAUCUUUCAUUAUCAUUAAUUGAAUAUAUAUAUAUUGGUAUCAUGUUAUACUAUUCAACAAUUGAUAUAGAUGUUAAAUUUUAAACCGUUCAAACUUACCUUGACUGAAUUGUAGUAGUUGUAUAAGUUUAGGGACUAUUUCGCUAUUUUUCCUUUUCCACGAGUGUCUACGAGAUCUUGAUCUAAAAUGUAAAAUUUCUCAAAUAUCAGCUUACAUUUCACAUUUCAAUCCAUUUUACAACUAAUAACCUUUUAUUUUUCAAAUUUACAUAAAUACCCUAAACUUUUAUAAUUUUUGCAAUUUAGUCCCUUAAAUCGAAACUCAUCAAAAUAACCAUUUUUGUCAAAUCAAAAUUCUAUUCAAAUAUACUAGGCCCUUCAACAAUCCCUAAUUAACAUGAAAUUCACUAUCAAACCCUAAACUUUUGUCAUUUUCACAAUUUAAUCCUAAAAUCAAAAUCUAACAAAAAUCACUUUACAAAAUCAUUGUUCAACAUAAUCAAAGAUUCAAAUACAAGGUAUCACAAGUCAUUUUGAAAGUUUGAUAAAAAAACACAACACUCAAAAAGAAAAAAAAAACCUCACCGUUAUGCACUCAAAAAUAAAAUAAAAUUCUCAAUGAGGUAAGAAUUAAUCUUGUGAGUGUUUUAAAAGUGUUUAUAUCAAUUAAUCAUAAUGUAUUAUAACCAAACUAGCAAAGAAAACCUAGUAGCACUAGGACUCUAAAAUUAGCUAGACACCAAAUAAUUAUGUUACAUGAAGGAAGGAAUGUGUAGCGUGCUUUAACCUACUAACACAAGAAAUAAUAAAGUGUUAGAAUUUGCAAAGGAAUAAAAAAAAGUGAAAACCUAAGGCUAAGAGUCAAUGAAAAUCCCUAAAACCUGGAAACCUGAAAAAUUGUGUAGUAGCUUGACAAAAUUCGUUCGAGGUGUUCUCGAUUUCAAAAAAUCACGAAAAUUGAACUAGAGCCUUACCAAAUAAUGUAGAUUUGAUCUUGAAAGUUUCCACAUGAAAUUCAACCCACAAAACCUUUUUUAAUUUGUUUAUUUUUCAUAUUUUUCUAUUUUUUUCCACUUUUUUCACUUUUUUUUGAGAAAUAUUCUUUAAUAUUGUAAAAGAGUGGUAGGAAUCAGUAUGUAAAAUUUUAUAUUGCUUGAAAAAAAAUUUAACAACUAAAAAAUAUUUUUCCCAAAAACUUUCUGGGUAAAAAGAACUAUUUUGAGGUUGUUUGGUGGAAAUCAGUGUAUAAGAACACAAAAAACACCUAAAAUGCCCAAGAAUAUGAUACAAAAUGAUACAUACUCAAUGUGUGAAUGAGUGCAAAACAUGAUUGUAAGUUUUUCCAAGUCGCAGAUUUGACUCAGAGGUCUAGAAACUUAAAACACAAACAAAUUCAAGUCAAAUAUAAAAUGUCAAAAAAAUUAAAGGAAACAAUUAAAAUAGAUAAUUAGGACAAAAAACAAGUAAAUAAAUCAAAGAUUUGAAUAAUUAAAUAGGAACAAAAUAGAAUAAAGAAGAAAACAAAAUAGAUAGAUGGUGUGUAGAAUUCCUAUAGAGCCUUGGGAACCCAAUGAAUCCACAACCCCCUUCAAGCGGCUUUUAUUUUACUUCCAAGAAAUAAAAUUUGACAAGAAAAAGCUUGAAGAAGAUCCCCACAAUAUGAAAAGAUUGUUAAAAGUCUUCUAAAAGAAAACUCAAGAGAAAUUCUUAAAAAGAAAACUCAAAGAGAAUUUUAUUAACUCAAUGUGAAUAAUAAAUGAAUUCAUUGUUGUACAAUGCAAAGGCCUUUAUAUAGGCUAUCUAAUUAAAUCUAAAUAAAACUCUUAAGUAUACUAAAACUCUAAUUAACCUAAACAAGAAGUAGUUUUAAACUAGACAUUCUUGUUGACAUAAAACUCUUAAAUAACUUAAAAUACUUAAUAAUUAUAAAAAUUCAAAAUAAAACAUAAUAAAAUAAUGGGUCUGAAAGUGGGCCUUGGUACUCAUAUUAGGGGUACUAUUGGCUCACCAUGCAAAAAGACAUAAAAACCUUCCCCCGCACGCCUGUUGAACAUGUACAUACCAUCUCUAGUCCUUAGCCUUUUGCAAAUGGGGUAUUUACAUUGUAAGACCAUUUCCAUAAGCCACAACACAUAAGAGGUAUAUUGUCAUCACCAUAGAAUAUUUUACGAAAUGGAUAGAAGCAAAAGCAUUAGCCACCAUCAAAGAAAAGCAGGUGGAGAACUUUAUCUUGAAAGUUAUCAUACGCAUAUACAAUAUCCUACGCCUGAUCAUUAUUGAUAACAUGAUGUAAUUCCCAAUAAAGUUCAAUGAAUUUUGUGAUAGCCUCCAUAUAGAUUUGGUGCUUAGUUCAGUAAAAAUCCCACAAAUGAAUGAGCAAGCAAAAGCCACUAAUAAGAAGAUCCUUUAGUGCUUGAAGAAGAAGUUAGAAUACACAAAAGGUAGAUGGUUGGAUAUAUUGCCUAGUAUCCUCAAGUCUUUAUGGACCACAUUAGACUCAGGGACAGGAGAAACCCCCUUUCAAUAUUAUGUUUAGCAUCGAAGUUGUAAUACCAGCUGAUAUUGACCUCAACACGUACCAAAUAAUUCACUAUACUGAGCAUGCCAAAGAAAACAAUCUCUAAGAGAAUCUAGAUUUCUUAGAUGAAGUGAUGAAGCACCACUUAGAAUGGAAAUCCAAGCUUCGUAGGUGGUGCAGUACUCUAAUUCCAAAGUCUACGACAAACAAUACUAGGUGGGAGACUUAAUGAUGAGGAAUGUAGAAGCUAGUCAACCAAUUGGUCAAAAAGGAAAAUUCUCAGUUACUUGGGAGGGACCUUACCAUGUAGUAGCAAUAUUGGGAUGUGGAACUUACCAAGCUCUAAAAGGAUUGUGCGUACUCACAUUUGUGAUGUGGUUUAUGGGGCAUUGAGGCCCAGGGAUAGUUUUUGGAGAGAUAAGGGAAUGUGAGCUACGCUCCAUUCACCAGGAUAUGUAUGUUUGGUGUGUUAGAGAGUGUUAACGAUACGUUUCACUUAUGGGAUAUGUACGACUCUAUGAGUCAUUAUUAGUGUGUUGGAGAUCCGUGUAUUCGAUGUAUGGUGAGAGAGUCCACAUUAUGUUUAAUAUCCUCAAGAUUCAAACUAUCAUAAAACGUGAUUGAAAGUGACUAAAUGUGAUUAAAAUGUGCUUUGAUAUAUGCUUAACUAUUUAGGUGAUUAUUGAGAUAUAUGUGUAAUGGAAUUAAUGGAAGAUGCUUAUACAUGUGAAAUAUGAUAUUAGAGUUUAAUAUGUUAUGAAUAUGAGAUAUGUCUGUUUACAAAGUGGUUAUUCUAAGCAUUCACUGAGCUUGUUCAGCUCACCUACUCCAUUUUAAGCUUUGCAGAGUAGGUGCGUUCCCGGUGUGAGCAGUGUGGCCUUCAAGGGAUUGAUCCAAGUCAUUCUUUAGUCACUAUAGUAGGUAUUGCUAGUUAUUUUUUAUAUGGGAGUUUAGGGCAAUGUGGUAGAUUUUAUAUUGGUUUUGCUACGACAUUUUUGGGGUAUUUGCAAGGUAUUUAUGUUUGGAGGUAUGUGGACUUGAAUAUGAUGCUUGGACUGUUAUUUUGGAUAAUUUGAUGUUUAUUUAACUAGGUGAAUGAAACUUGUUAUUUAGGGUUGUGUUUGAAUGUUUUUAUUACUGAUAUAUGCUGAAAUUCGAUAGUCUGAAGCAGAGGUAUUGAUAUGUGGGUUUUAAAAAUGAUACAUGUGUAAAUUCAAAAGUGUAGGGAGUUAGAAUAUAGAAUUGGUAUCGAUACCUUGGCCCGAGUAUCGAUACUCGAGGUAAAAUAAUAAAUACCUUGCGAAUGGUACCGAUAGUUGUUGACGUUUGGAAAUUUUGGUGAGAAACAGAAUGCAAGUUUGGUGUCGAUUUUUCAUGUGGUAUUGAUACCACUUAAAGAAAAUAUCAAUACCACUCUUUUAGCAUCGAUACCUAUCUAAAAUGUUUUGGAAAAUUAAGUGGUCCCAAUGCUCGAUGUAUGUCCAUUUUAUGUUUGUUCGUCAAAUGUUAGCAUGGUUAAACGUUAAUUUGAGUUUGCAUGUCAUAAUAUUCGCAUGAUUGCUAUAGUAACAAAAGAAAAUAAUGAUGUAUGUGUACUAAAUGUGACAAUUAUGAUGAAAUCGAUGUGAGACGGUAGUGUAGUGUCCUAGUAUUUUGGUUCGACGACUAGGCUGGGUAUAAGGAGUUAUAGAUCGAGUCGAGUAUAGGUUGCUACAGUAAUCCUCCCCCAUGUAUCUGGGAAAAAGUUAUUAUUGCUCCUUUAUUCUGAUAAAUAUUUGUGUUAAGCCAGUGAACCAUUCACAAGCAAGACAAUAUUUCUAUGAAAGAGUAUAUUCUAACACUUACUACUUAGUUCAAUUCACAACAAACAUUUAGAGAGAAUAAUUUGAUUGAAUACUUCAACUAAUGACUGCUCUCCUUACAAAACAAUCAAGAGUCAGAGUAUUUGGAAUUUAAAAAGAAACUAUCAAAACAUAUGUUAUAUAGAGUCACUAUUAUGAAUACCAUUCGUAAAACAUGCCAAGAAGAGCAAAGAAGGAAACAGUCAAAUGCAAGGCAUUAAAGAAACGCAUAAAGUAUUAUUCAUAUAAAGAUAUAGUACAACAUACACCAAUUAUCAAUAUCUAAACCCUCACUAGAAUUUACAAGAGGCUUCUUAAUGGGUAGAUCCUUACCAACAUCAGAAGUAUUGGUUUCCCCCUCUGCUGCACCCUGGACUUCUAAGCUCUCCCCUUUGAGAAUGGUUGUUACACAUUGAGCUCUCAUCCUCUCGACAUACUCUUCCCACUUGUGACCAUCAGGAUAAAAAAAUCUAACUCGAGGUCAUCUCUCUCGUAAGUGUUAACCCAUUGAGUGGUUUAAUAUCUAUGUUGUGGAUGUAAAGAUGGCUAGAUGUAAUUGCAUUCACAUUGCUCUGUCUGCAGCUUCUCCCUCAACUGGGCCAAGGCUUUUUAGGCUACAUCUCAUUCCUUUUUAUAAGCAUUUGCUUGGCCUUUCCAAUACUUGAUGUCAUCCCAGGCCUUUUUCUCAACAGCUUUAAGCUUCCCCUUAGCUAUCUUUACCCAAUCCUCGAUGACUUUGAUCCUUAUUUUAGUUGUACUAGAGGAGUCAUGGAAGUCCACUAUAAAGUGCAUAGACAUCUCAAUAGUAACCCUUGUCCCCUUAAAGAGAUUUUUAAAGCCUGCACAAGUAUCACGUUACAUCCAUCAGGAUAUGAUAACAUAACUUGCAAGAAUUGUUCAUCACUCAUCUAAGGGAAGUAUUAUAGAGUCUGUUGUAUAGGAAGGCACCAAUUGUGUACUACCAAUAGGAGGGUUAGUAGAAGUUUUAGCAUAUUUAUCCUUCCCUUCGCCUCCUGUAAUGGGAGUUCUCCAUCCUUCACCUUUGGGAAGGGUCUACACUGAAUUGUCCUUCACCCUCUUCCCAAAGAAAGAUUUCGCAAUAAUAUUCCUCCCUAAACCAAAGGAGGCAUUUUUUGUAGUGUCAUCCCGUCCCCUUUUGGGAGGACGUUUUAUUGAGUUUUUUCCGCUAUUAAGGGUGCUCGCAGUGUUCGAUUAGGUAUCAAGGAGAUGCAUCUCUUUUUCCCAAGUAUAGUAAGCAAAACAUCAGCAGCAAUAGGGUAUUUGCUACUCGUCAUACCUUCCGAACCUACACAAAGAACAGAAGUUAGAAUAGUAUUAGUAUCAACACAAACAAACGCACAAGACAAACACUCACGUUGUUUUCGUUUCUUAGAAUGAAAGGGGAACACAAGUCCCUCAUUGUCAAUAUCUACAUCAACCUAGUGUAUACCCUUAGAGAGGAAUACUUCCAAGUGUUUCGUUUUAGCUAAACUAUAUUACAAUUUGACCCAUGUACUUACGAACACCACCAUUUUAAUCGUAUAUAUAUAUUUGGUAUUAUUUUUACUAUAAAUGAUAACUCUUUUAUAGGCGGUCAAGUUGUUGGUGUUGUUGUCAGGGAGGUUUCAAAAAUAAAUUUUAAAAAUAUUUUUUACAAUUAAUAAGAUAAGUAGGAACAUUAAAGCUUAUAGGUAUGAUUUUUUUUUAUUUUAUUGUUAGUAAAUUUAGAAGAGGAACAUUAUGGAAACUCUGAUGGGUAGAAAUAUUUUUUUAUAUAAAUUGGCUAAAACCUAGUAAUGCUCAUCUAGUAAUGAGUACAAUUCCAUUUAAGAUUAAUCUAUCACAGUUGGAUUCCUUUAAAUCCAGAAACUCGGAACCUUUAGGGGUUAAAUUGAAAGAGGCCAAAAGUUGGCGAUCUCUACUGAAAAAUCAGGAAAAGAUAACAAUUAAAAUUGGACAAGAUUGAGAACCAAGUAUGGUUCGGUUAGAUUAGAACCAUUCGGUUCCUUAGUGGGGAACAAAAUGAUUAAGAAUGGGUGGAUGUAAAACAGUUGAGGAUCAUGCGGGAAAGGCUAUACAUAGUUGGGAAAUGACUUCUCGGGAGACUUCUUCUCUAGUCUAUUUCAUUUUUCUUCUUUAUCUUCAUCCUUAGUAGCUCCUAGAAGAGAUGGCUAUCAGAAAGCUCUACAUGGAGCGAUAACAAUGGAAUUUCAGUAGGAAAUGAGGGGAGUUCAGUGAGCUGGUAAGGCUCUAAGCCAUUCAUGGUACAGAAUAUUUAGAAACAAAGUGAAGAGUUUCUAGAAACCAUUUUUAAGGGUUCCCAAUGUUUCUAGAAAACUAAGUUUAAAUGGAGAUUUUUUAGUUUAACCCAUGAUUUGGUUGUCAUGCUUAGCUGCCAGGAGAAUGGAAGCUCUAGUGUUUGGGAAAGGCGAAUAAGCAUCAGGUGAGUUUAUGUACUUAAACAUGGAACUAUCAAAUUUUAAUGCAUGGUUUCACAAGUUUAUGAGCAUCCACCAUUUUUUAGUAUACAUGGUAAUGGAAAAUAAUGAAACGGGAUCAAUGACGGGUUAGACGAAGUUAGGAAUGGGAAAAGAGAGUAAAUCUAUUUAAUACUGCCAUAUUGUAUUGCUGAAAGCAAAUCGUGAUGUGUGAAAAGGGCACUUCGGUGUUCAAGCAUCAAGGUAUAUGAUGGGGAAAUAUAGGAAUGGAUAAAAUGAAAUAGGAAGAGUAAAGAUCAUGGCUAUGCCAUGGGACUGAUCGGAGGCAAUUCGUCUAAACUGACUAAGACUAUAGUAGAAAGAUGUUAUGGCAUCAGGAUGAAAAUGAGUAAGACCAUGGCUGAAAGAUGUUAUGACAUCAUGGAAAAUAGGAGUAAGAGCAUAGUUGGACUAUGGAAACAUGGAAACCCAGGCUGUCCGUCGGGACAAUAAUAUUGGGGUAAUAAUGUGUAAGACCAUAGCUAAAAGAAGCUAUGGCAUCAUAGAUAAUCCAAUGAGACAUUCAAAUAGGAUAGUGUAACGGGAUGUUAAUCACGGGACAGUUCUUCAAGGCACUAAACACGGGAUAGUCUGUCGGGACAGUAAGCAACGGGACCAGGUGAGUAAAACCAUGGCAAGGUUAUGGUAGCUUGUGGAGACCAUCAAGAUUCUAAACAUGGAAUAGUCCACUGGGACAGUAAACACGAGCGCUUAUCCAAAAUGGUAAUUGUUGGAAAAGUUAAAACAAGGAAAAAGGUUAGAAGAAUGAUUAAAGUAUGUGGCACAAUGGAUAGCGAGUUGAAGGAAUCUGCCAAUAAUUGAAGAAUGUAAAGAAAAUGAGAAGCCACUACUAGAAUGGUAGGUUUGUAAGCCAGCAGGGCAUACAGGUGGUAACCCCACCAGAAAGAGUUAUGGGAAAGGACAUACUAGUAGUGUCUGGUGUGCAAGCAAAUACAGGAUGGCUAACCAUGGAUCAUAGAUAAAGAUCCGCCAUUACUAAUUGUCAAAAGGUGCUUAGAAAAACCCUGUGAGCUAGAGAUUUGAUAUAAGGUAUAUUUGUUAGUUUACGAAAAAAAGGGUUAGAGAGAACCCAUUAAAUGAAUGGUCGACACCAACACACUACCAAACAUGUUCAUGCAAUUUCCAUCGCUAGGAGAAGAAGAAGAUGAUGAGGAUGAGUCAGAGCCUAAUUCCGACUAAUUUUGAAUAAUUUUUAAUUUGGACAUUGUACUUAAGUUUGUUUCUUUGGGAUGAUGGUUAUUGGUUUGUUUUAAUUUUUUUAAGAACUUUGGUAUUAUAUAUAAAAAGAUAUUGCAUUUUUCUUAGCAAGAGCCCAAAUUUUUUGAUGGGCACUACCUAAAAGGAGUAUUCCCACCAAUCGAGCUGCACAAAUCACGCCAAUCAGGUGUAUCCUCUUUCCUUUAUAUUUUUAUUGUGCAUUAAGGGCAAUCUACUGAAUAAAGUGUGGGGUGACUUAGGAAAAUUUUUAAAAUUUUUUGUUAUUUUAUUUUCCUUUAUUUUAAGUAGUUUUUAAAUUUUUAAUUGCAUGUUUUCUAUAUGAUUGAGUUUGUAGAAAUACAAGUGAUUGGUUAUAAGCAUGUUAAUAGGAUUGUGUGAAUAAAUUGUAAAAAUAGUUUGAUAAUAAUUGUUUCUAAAUUUUUAAUUUUAGACUACUGAGUUUAAUUCAUUACAUUUUGAAUAGAUUUAAGAUGUUAAGUAUACCAUGUGAUAAAUAAAUAUAUAAAAAACAUGCAUGUUUAAUUGAAUUAUAAGCUAUAGAAAUUGAUAGACAUGGCGAAUUUAAUCCAUGUAUAGAAUUACCUAUGGACGACCUAAGGCAUUAUUUGGUAGACAACUUUUUAAGCCAAAAAGCUAUCCCGUAAAUAUUUUCCCUAGUACCUAUUUUGAGCCUUAAUCCAUUCUCUUAAUGAAACCGACAUGAAACCUUAAGCCUAUUACACAUUCUAUUUGAUCCCUUAUUUCUUUGUCCUUGCAUGGAUUUAGACGUCCAACCAUCGAUAUUGAGAGAUUAAGUACAUACAUCUCGGUGGUUUAAUAAAAAUAAAAAAAUUGAGUGAACUAAGGAAUUGUAAGGUAUAGUGAGUAUAAGAUUUUGAGCUUAUAGAAAAAUAAGGCAAAAUGCAAAUCGAUAAAAUAUUGAUGAAAAAUAAAAACAAACUAAUUUGGAAAAAAGUACGCUCAUAUUUGUUCAAAAACAAAUUACGAGCUCAAAUGAUUGUACUCAUGAAUAUUAUACGAUGCCUUAGUAUAUGGAGAAAUAAGGCAGGUGAGAGAAGCAGAUAUAAGGUGGUGAGCUUAUGUAUACUUUGGGGAGUUUUGGGAACAAUAUCAUAUGCCAAACUACCUUCGUGGUGAAUCAUUUUGUCGAGCCUCAUCUUUGAAUUCCAAACCAACCUCAGUUGCGGAACGUUAGAAGCCAAAAAGUGCUAUGUGACUUAGGUAGUACCUUACAAGGAUGAAAUUGUGUCGAGUCUUGAUGGUUUUACCACUUAUAGUCAUUUGAACCUACGUGUAUAUUUGUACAUAUAUUUUGAUGAAACCUUAUACUUAAAAUUGUUUUAUUUGUUUGGCUUGUAACUUGUCGAACUAACCCGUCUAACUUUAGAAAUUGUGAGUCAGUUGUAUAGUACUCUAGAAUUACAUAUUUAUUUACCUUGUCCUAUUAAUAUAUUUCUCUCCAAUUUCCUUUAUCAAGUUAGCUUGAGUACAUUUUCUUUCCUUUGUAUAAUUAUUUAUUAUUUUUCAGUAGUUCGCUUUUAGCUUUUAAUUUGUUUUUGUUUACUUCGCUUGAGGACAAGCAAACACUUAAGUAUGGGGAUAUUUGACUUGUCGUCAAAUGUAGUAGUUAAUUCAGGUUAUUUUCGCCCUUAAAGAGUUAUUUUUCUAGGUAAUUUAGUUUUUAAUAUUAUGUUUUCAUUAUUUAGUAUUUAGAAUUAAAUAUCAGUGAAAUAAGUGUUUUUAACAAAUUUUACGAGUGUUGUGACCCAUUAGGCCAACACAGGCCUCGAGUAGUGCUAAUAUGUUCAACUGAGUGUUUAAGAUGAAUGAUUAUAGGUGUAACAACCCAGUUUUAGUGGUGUCAAAAAUAGUGGUUUCAAGACCACGACUCCAACAAGUGAGUUAUUAUUUUAAUAAUUAUUUAAAGUCAAGCAUUUGAUUGUUAUUUUUGAGUGCAUAAUAGUGAGGUUUGCUUAAUUUUUCUUUUCAUGAGUGUUGUGUUCUUUUUAGGCUUUCACAAUGAUUCACAAUAUUAUGAUUGGGAAGUUGAGAAUGGAUCAAGAUGUUCAAAAUGCUCGAGAUUAGUAACGUGACACUAUUCUAUACACAAUCAACAAAAAUUUAAAAUGUCUAAGUACAAAAAUUGAGCGUCAGAAUCGUAAUUGGGGAGAUAAGAUUGAUCAGCCUUGUCUUCGUGCAAAUAAUGCUUGACGUGUCUCUCGUAAAAAUGAUAAGACUUUGGUUAAUAAUGAUUUUAGGCAACAUGUUUUAGCUAAACCAAAGUUCAACAUUCCACCAUUUUAAGGGAAGUAUGAUCCCAAAGCAUAUUGUGAGUGGGAAUCAAAAAUUGAACUUAUGUUUCAUUACUAUAAAUGUCGGGAAGAGGAAAAAUUCCAAUUGGAAUUGAUUGUCAAAUGAACUACGAAAGGGUAAUUGAAACAUAGGAUGAGUUGAAGCAAGUGAUGUGAAGCGUUAUGUUCCUUCUCGUCACUAUAGAAAGGUCUCAAUAAGACUUCAACACCUUGUUCAAGGUAAUCGAUUUGUUGAUGAGUACUUUAAAGAGAUGGAGAUGCUUAUGCAAAGAGAAAAUAUAUGGAAGGAUGAAUAAACUACCAUGGUGCGAUUUGUAGAUGGCUUGAACAUUUCGAUAGCCAAUGCUCUUAAUCUUCAAACCUAUAUUGAUCUUGAGGAGAUGGUACACAAGGUAAUUGAGACUAAGCAACAAUUUCAGCAACAUAAAUCUCGUCCACUUGGCGCAUCACACUAUUAUCGAGGUACAAGUUCUAAUUCUACUUUCAAGAAUUCAAAACCUUCUUAUGCUAUUAAUAAGUUGCUGCCAAAACAUGCUAUGACUAAACCUUUUGAGUGGAAAAGUAAGGCUCUUACAGAACAUUCUUCUACAUCUUUCAAGCAACUCAUUUCUACUAAUUUUUCACUAAAACAACAAAGAGCUUGAGACAAUGAAUGUUAUACGUGUAAAGGGAGUGGACACUAUAGUCGUGAUUGUGCCAACACGAGACUUUUGUUGAUCAAAGAAGAUGACGAACUUUGUGAAUCAGAAAAAAAUGAUAAUGAGAAUUCUUUCCUUGAAUCUAUAGAGUUAGAUGAAAUAGAAAUGUCAUGCUCUCCUACUGAGAUAUAUUGUAUUGAAUUGAAUAUUCAUAAUACUUGUGAGAGGGAUAUGGGAAGUGAGAAAGAAUCAUGUGAAAAGACAGAGAGAAAAGAGACCUUAAGUGAUAAAAGUCUACUUGAUGGUCCAAAUUUGGUGAGUGAAAAUCCAUAUGAGUUACAAUUGGAGAGUUCUCAAGUGGAAAGAGAAAAUAAAAAGUAAGAAAAUACCCAUUCAAAAGUAAGGAGUGAUUAUGUUUUAACUAACCCUAACUGUAAUGCCACAAAAUUUUUAAUUUCAUUAUUGUGAAAAUAUGACACAUAUUUGUCAGCUUUAGUGGUUAUGUGUUCUUGGAGUGUUUGGGAGGUCCCAAGUUCAAGCCUUCGUUUGGGAAAAUUUUGGUAUUUUGAAUGAAUUAGGCCUUACUCUUGUUAAGUAAGCUUUUAUUUGAUUGUUAGGUAAAUUACAUCAGAAUGGGCAUGCUGGUCUGGUGGUUAAAUGGUGUGUUAUUAUGGUAGAGGUCUUGUGUUCGAAUUCCUAUGCAGGCAAGGGUAUUAUUUUUUUGCUCUGAUAUCGGCAUAAGUUGUGUAAUAGGGGGAUUUUGAGUAGUGGAUGUGUAGUGGGAAUUAGGGGAGAAGAUUAAGGGAUUUUGGGGGUUAUCGGGAUUUUAUUUUAUUUUUUUCCUAUAAUCGAAUUUUGACUCUCUUUUCCAAAAAAAUUAUGCCAUCUAUUCUUCUCCCUCACCUCUUGCCGAAAUUCUCUAAUUUUUUCCAUCUUUCUCUUCUUUUUUUUCUUCUUGAUUUUUCCUUCAUCCAUUUAUUUUCCUUCGUUUUCGCACGCGGUUGGUGCUCGCUUAGUUUCAAUAAGUGUUUCUCUUCGUUUCUGUCAUGAAUCUCUUAGCGACUAAAGUGGUAAUGUUUUUUCGGUAAGUGUUUCCCUUCGUUUCUGUCAUGAAUCUCUUAGUGACUAAAGUGGUAAUGUUUUUUCUCUGUGAUUUGGGCGUAGGAGGAGGCUCAGACUGGUGAAUUCAGUGUUCUCAUCUUAACAAUAGUUAAACUGAGGAUUAUCGUUGGUGGUAAGUUGGGUUUUUGUUCGUUCUUGGUUGUCAAUUCGUUUGUAAAUCCGUAAAAUUGAUGUUGAGUAUCUUGAUUAUAGGCUUUGGAGUGCUCGGGAAUUGUUUUAGCAUCAAAUAAAACCAGGUGUGUACCCAAAAUGACAAAAAAAGGGAUUCAACAAAAAGCUGAAAUUGCUUGCUGUUUGGACAACAGUAGUAGGCUAAUUUUGAAAAAUUGCCAUAAAUUGAGGAAAUCGUAUUAAUGAUGAAAAAAAUAUGGAAUUAAAGUUUAUUGAGUCUAGUUUCUCAUAGAAGAAACGGUGUAAAUAAUGAGUUCGGGUUUCCCUGUUCUGACUUUAGAAAAUCAUCAAAAAUUAGAGAAAAAUAAUUAGGGGUUAAAAUUUACAAGUUUAAAUUAUUAAUGAGUCUAUUUCCAGUAGAAACAAAUGGGUACUUCAUCCAAAUUUUUUACUAAGAGAUAAUUAUUUUUUAGCAAAGAAGGGUCGAAGCUGUCAGACAACAGAACAAGGGUAAGUUUUAAGAUUUUACUGUAUUUAUUGGCUAAACAAAAAAUUCUACAAAUUUUAUGGUAGAAAGGUAUUUGAGUCUAGUUUCAAAAACGUCAAGCGAAUUUUAAUUCGGAAUUCUGUAGCUCAAGAUGUAAAUAAUUUAGUAACAGUGACGCAAGUAGACAGCUUUGAAGGAACACAUAAAUAAAUAGUGAAAACAUAUAUGAAUAUUUAGCUAGCACGGGUUACAUUAAAAAUGGAUCACGUGGCCAAGGCCAAUUUGGCCCAAGUGGGCAACAUGGGCAUGUGAGCCUAUUUUUCUGAAAAUUUUUGUAAGGUUGCACUAGUCGCCCAAGUCGACUGUAGACCAACUGUAGGGUCGGUUGGUGAUAUCUAAAUGUAUGUACUAUGAAUUGCAUAAUGGCAUGACAUAUUUUGUAUGUUGCAUUGCAUCGGAGUGGGUUGAUGAUAUUUGGAGGAAGUGUCUGAAAGGCUAUUCAGCCUAUUAUCUGGCAGCUUAGCUGCAACCUUCUGAUUAUGUGCCACAUUUCAGUACAGCAUGGUGUGUAGGGAUAGGUGGGUUGAUUUAAUCCCCACAUGGUGUGUAGGGUUGGACAGAGAUGGUGUGUAGAGGCUGGUGGGUAGGAUUCUGAUUUACUGUAUUUGCAUUCUGUAUCUAAUAUAGGCCAAGGCCUUAAUGUAUUUCUAAGACUGUAUCUGAACAGGCUAAGGCCCAAACUAAUUCUGUGAUGGGCACAGGCCCAGACUGUAUCUAACUGAAUUAUGUUGAUUAUCUGUAUGCAUGUUUUCUGUGCGGAUUACACACCGAGUUUGUAAAAACUUACCCUUUCUCUAUUUAAUCUGUUCAGGUAAUCCCCAUACUUGACGGGUCAGUGUAGCGGAGGACUCGACCGUGGCCACACGUAAAUUUUAGACUGUUUUCUGUUAAUGUCUAGAAUUUAUUACUUAUUUGGGGUUUUUUAUGUAACUUUUGGACUAUGGACUGGUUGGCUUUAAGUUUGGGACUUUAUACUAUUUUUAUGAAUUUUUUAAACUGCAACUACACAAUUUUUCAAAAACUAAGGUUUUCGUAAAUAAAAGCGAUUUUCCCUAAAUUAAUUGGUUACAAAAGCUUCCGCUAAGAGACAAGUUUUAAAGCAAAUCAACUAGUACUUAUUUUUUUCUGAAUUAAAUAAAAGUUAACUAACUGUAACGGUUUUAACUCGACAAUCUUGUCUUCAAAUCCCAUUUCAUGUGACAUCGCCAGAUUCAGCCUUAACAUCUAGGCUGGGUUUGGGGUGCUACAUUUAGUGGUAUCAGAGCAAGGUUGCAAAACUAGACUGUGGAUUUGGGUUUUAAAAAUUGGUUUUAAAGAAAUGAUUUUUAAAUGGUUUGAAAUAUUUUUGACUGAGUAUGUGGUACACCGAGUCUCCGGCGUCAAUUCUGUAAGUGUUCUAAAAACUAUGAUAAGUUUUUAAAAAUAUGAGUAGCGUAUUCUGAAACUAUUAUAGGUAGUAUAUUGUACUGAGAACAUUGUAGAUAGUGUAUAGUGAAAAAAGUAGCAAAAUUGAAAACUGUAGUAAGACUGCGAUUCGUGAUAACAAACUCUAAACUUCUAAUACUAUUUUGCAUAAAAUAUUUACUAAUAGAUAUCAAAACUGUAACUAAUUCAUAAAACUAUUAACACAGACAAGUUACGAAUUCUAAGAUGAGCGCACGAGGUAUUCGCGAACAGGAUACUAGAGGCCGAGGUAGAGGCUGUAGAGGGGCUCGAGCUGAGUCCUUGUCGUUAGGUAGCAUGCCAAAUCUAGAUAUGUGCGAGACGCCGGUUUCACCUGCUACAGAGGCUGGGUCUCAUGAUCAUAUGGCCAGGGACAACACCUUGUCCUAGGCUAUGCUGAGGAUAUUAGAGAGGGUCACUCGGCCCAACACUAGAUCUGAGAGUCGAAGGUGAGUUACAGGACGACUCCGAUCUAAUAGGGCUGAACUAUUCAGGGGUGUCACUAGAGUCGCCCCUAGCCUGGUCGAGUACUGGAUGGAGGCCACGGAAAGAAUCGUGGACGAUCUAGACUUUACCCUUGAACAGAAAUUGAAAUGGGCUAUUUCCUUGCUUCGCGAUGAAGCAUGCCAAUGGUGGCUGACUGUUAAGGAGGGCACUCAGCCCGAAUGAUUGACAUAAGAUUUCUAUAAGUCUGCUUUCUAAGGUAAAUAUGUAGGGGCAAGCUACAUCGAUGCUAGAAGACGUGAGUUUCUGAAUCUCACACAAGGGGAUCGUUCAGUGGCCGAGUAUGAGGUCGAGUUUCUGAGAUUGAGCCGCUAUGAGUGAGGCAUGGUGGCGACUGGAUAUAAGCACUGUGUCCACUUCGAGGAUGGACUCAGGGAUAGUUUGAGAGUUCUGAUAGCUCCGUAGAGGGAGCAUAACUUUUUAGCAUUGGUAGAGAACGCGAAGAUCACCGAGGAGGUGAAGCACACUGAGCGGCAAAACUGGGAUAAGGAGAGAGGCAAGAAUAAGAGGGAUUCGGAGCCCUCGAUUUCUGGGAUGAGGCCUAAGAAAAAUGACAGAUCUGGUGGGAUAGUUAGAGUUAGGGCCCCUGUUGCAUCUACUGGAAUCACGCUUUGCGGACAUUGUGGAAGGCGCCAUCUGGGUGAAUGUUGGAGGACGACUGGGGCUUGUUUAGGAUGUGGGUCUACUGAGCACUGUGUUGGGGAGUGUCCGCUGAGGACCAAUCAGGUGCAAGUUACGGGUUCUGGUACUGCACAGCCAUCGAGGGUAGUUCAGCAACCGCCUAGGGGCCGUGAUCAGGCUAGGAGUGAUAAUGGUAUGGGUUAUGGGCAGAGAGCACCAGGCAGAGGUACUGGACAGGCUGAAGCGAGAUAAUCGGCCCUAGUUUAUGCUACUCGUCGCCAAGAGGAUAGAGAUGCUCCGUACGUCAUCACGGGUACGUUUCUUAUUUUUGUUGUGCCUUACACUGCAUUGAUAGAUAUAGGAUCUACGCAUUCCUAUAUUGUCUGUUCUAUUUUCAAAAACCUAGAGAUUCUGGUUGAGAGUACUUUUAGUGAGGUGACUGUGCUGAGCCUGCUGGGGCAAUUUGUUACAUUUACCAAACUGUACAGAGAUGUUCCCUUAGAGGUUCAAGGGGCAGUAUUUCAGGCUGAUUUGAUGGAGCUUCCAUUUUGGGAGUUUGAUAUGAUAUUGGGGAUGGACUGGUUGGUCAAGAAUCAUUUCAGUUUGGAUUGUGCGACUAAGAGGGUCGUAUUGAUAACUGAAGGGGGUAAUAUAGUUGUGAUUGGGGAACGCCGGAAUUACUUAGCUAACAUGAACUCUACACUGGUAGCUGAGAAACUGGUUCGCAAGGGAUGUGAUGCGUAUUUGGCCUACGUAAGUGUUUUCGCUGCUUGGGACUCUACUAUUAAGGACUUCAUAACUGUGAGGGAUUUUUUAGACGUCUUUCCUGAGGAGCUACCAGUUUACCUCCAAAUCGAAAGUGGAGUUCUGGAUUGAGCUUUACCCUGGUACAGCUCCGAUGUCUAUCGGUCCCUAUCGAAUGGUACCGAAGGAGCUUACUGAUCUCAAGGCUCAAAUUCAAGAGUUAUUGGAUCAUGGGUUCAUCCGCCCUAGUGUGUUCCCAUGGGGAGCACCGAUACUGUUUGUUAAGAAAAAAAAUGGAUCCAUGAGGAUAUGUAUCGACUACCAACAACUAAAUAAGUUGACUAUUAAGAACAAGUAUUCACUUCCAAGGAUUGAUGAUUUGUUUGACCAGUUCCGAGGGGUGUCUGUUUUUUCCGAAAUUGACUUGUGUUCUGGGUAUCAUCAGUUGAGGGUUAAGGAGGCUGAUGUGCAUAAGAUGACAUUUAAGACUCGUUAUGGUUACUACGAGUUCCUAGUGAUGCCAUUUACAUUGACUAAUAUACCGACAACUUUCAUGGAUCUGAUGAACCGAGUGUUUCAGCCCUAUCUAGAUCAGUUUGUAGUGGUGUUCAUUAAUGACAUAUUGGUUUAUUCGAGGACUGAGGAUGAGCAUGACGAGCACCUUAGGAUUGUUCUUCAUAUUUUGAGGGAAAAACAGCUCUAUGCUAAGUUCAGUAAGUGCGAGUUCUGGUUACAUGAAAUAACAUUUCUAGGUCAUGUGGUGUCUGCUGAGGGAAUUCGCCUAAGAAUGUGUCUGAGAUCUGCAGUUAUUUGGGGUUGGCAGAUUAUUAUCGACGGUUUGUGGAAGGAUUUUCACUGAUCGCAGCACCCUUAACUAAGCUGUUAUGUAAAGGUGUACCAUUUGACUGGACUAAUGCGCAGCAAGAGAGCUUUCAGAAGCUUAAGACUGUACUGACUAAGGCUCCUGUUUUGGUACAGCCUGAACCUGGAAAGGAGUUCACUAUUUAUAGUGAUGCAUCACAUGUCAGUUUGGGAUGUGUAUUGAUGCAAGAUGGUAAAGUGGUUGCAUAUGCGUCUCGUCAACUUAAGACACACGAGGCAAACUAUCCGACGCACAAUUUGGAGUUGGCCGCCGUAGUCUUUGCAUUGAAAAUCUGGAGGCAUUAUCUAUACGGUGAGAAAUGUAUUAUUUACACUGAUCAUAAAAUCCUCAAGUAUCUCCUCACUCAGAAUGAGUUAAAUCUUAGGCAGCAUAGAUGGGUUGAGCUACUUAAGGAUUAUGAUUGUACCAUUGAGUACCAUCCUGGCAAGGCCAAUGUGGUGGCCAAUGCAUUGAGCCGUAGGGCUAUGACCGAUCUGAGAGUGAUGUUCGCUCGACUUAGCCUAUUCGACGAUGGAAGUCUAUUGGCAAAACUUCAGGUCAAACCGACAUGGAUUGAAUAGAUUCGAGGUAAACAGUUGGGGGAUAAGUCUCUCAGGUUGUGUUUUCGUCAGGUUGAGAAUGGUGGCACUACUGAUUUUAGGAUAAACAGUGAAGCAGUACUUUGUUUUUGUUGUCAGAUUUGUAUAUCGAAUGAUGAUGAUUUAAGGCAAUCGAUUCUGAGAGAGGCGCAUGGUAGUCCCUAUACUAUGUAUCCCGGUUGGAACAAGAUGUACCGAGAUCUUUGGGAAUUGUACUAGUGGCCAGGGUUGACGCAUGAGGUUACAGACUUUGUUGGUCGCUGUUUGACUUGUAAGCAGGUUAAGCCUGAGCAUCAGUUACCUUCGAGUUUGCUGCAGCCGGUUAAGAUACCGUUAUGGGAGCGAGUAACGAUGGACUUCGUUAGUGGGUUGCCUCUAACACCCACUAAGAAGGAUUCUGUCUGGGUACUCGUGGAUCAAUUGACAAAGUCUACUCACUUCAUCCCAGUAAGGACAGACUUUUCUCUUCAAAAAUUAGCUAAGCUCUACAUAUCGAAAAUAGUGAGACUACAUGGGGUACCUGUCUUGAUCAUUUUCGAUAGGGAUCCUCGUUUCACGUCUCGGUUCUAGAAUAAGCUUCAUGAGGCUCUGGGUUUAAUAUUAGACUUCAGUACUGCUUUCCAUCCUCAGACAGAUGGUCAGUUGGAUAGGGUGUAGAGGACAUGUUGAGGAGCUAUGUUAUUGAUUUUCGAGGCAGUUGGGAUGAGUACUUGCCGUUAGCGGAGUUUUCCUACAAUAAUAGCUUCUAGUCUAGCAUCCGGAUGGCACCUUACGAGGCACUGUAUGGUCGUAAGUGUCGCACUCCUUUAUGUUGGACAGAGUUGGGCAAGUGACGUGUUCUAGGUCCUGAGUUGGUCUCUGAGACAGAGGAUAAGGUUAGAUUGAUUCGAGAUCAUUUGAAAGCAGCUUCUGACAGGCAGAAAUCUUAUAUGGAUUUGAAGAGGCGUGAGAUCAGGUAUUCUGUGGGGACUUAGUUUUUCUUAGGGACUCGCCAUGGAAAAAGGUUCUAAGGUUCGGUCGCAAGGGCAAGCUGAGCCCUCGUUUUGUUGGACCUUACCGCAUUCUGAAAUGUGUGGGACCUGUUGCUUAUCAGUUGGAGUUACCUCCGAAGUUGGACCGUAUUCAUAAUUUUUUUCACGUCUCGAUGUUGAGGCACUAUCGCUCUAAUCCCAUGCAUGUUGUUUUUAUUGAGGAGAUUGAGGUUAGGCCAGCCUUGACCUUUGAGGAGGAGCCAGUUCAGAUUCUGGAGCGUGAUGUAAAGGUCCUUCUAAAAAAGUCUAUUCCCUAGUGAAAGUUCUGUAGCGUAAUCAUAGCAUUGAGGAGGCCAUGUGGGAGCCUAAAGAUACGAUGCGUCAGCAAUAUCCUUAUCUGUUCUGAUCAGGUAGAAUUUCGAGGACAAAAUUUUCUUUUAAGGGGUAGAGUUGUAAUGCCCCAAAAAUUCUCAUUUCGUUAUUGUGAAAAUAUGACACAAAUAUUUGUCAGCUUUAGUGGUUAUAUGUUCUAGGAGCGUUUGGGAGGUCCCAAGUUCAAGUCUUCGCUUGGAAAAAUUUUGGUAUUUGGAAUGAAUUAGGCCUUAAUCUUGUUCAGUAGGCUUUUAUUUGAUUGUUGGGUAAAUUACAUCAGAAUGAGUCUGCCAGUCUGGUGGUUAAAUGGUGUGUUAUUAUGGUGGAGGUCUUGUGUUCGAAUCCCUAUGCAGGAAAUGGUAUUAUUUUUUUGCUCAGAUUUCGGGAUAAAGUUGUGGAUGUGUAGUGGGAAUUAGGGGAGAAGAUUAAGGGAUUUUGGGGGUUAUCGUGAUUUUAUUUUAUUUUUUCCCAUAACUGAAUUUUUGACGCUCGUUUCCAAAAAAAUUUUGCCGUCUAUUCUUCUCCCUCUCCUCUUGCCAAAAUUCUCUGAGUUUUUCCAUCUUUCUCUUCUUUUUCUUCUUCUUGAUUUUUCCCUAAUCUAUUUAUUUUCCAUCAUUUUCGCACGCGGUUAGUGCUCACUUAGUUUCAGUAAUUGUUUCUCACCGUUUCUAUCAUGAAUCUCUUAGUAACUAAAGUGGUAAUGUUUCUUCGCUGCGAUUUGGUCGUAAGACGAGGCUCGGACUGGUGAAUUCAGUGUUCUCAUCUUAAUAAUAGUUAAACGGAGGGUUAUCGUUGGAGGUAAGUUGGGUUUCUGUUCGUUCUUGGUUGUUAAUUCACUUGUAAAUCUGUUAAAUUGAUGUUGAGUGUCUUGAUUAUAGGCUUUGGAGUGCCCGGGGACUGUUUUCUCAUCAAACAAAACUAGGUGUGUACCUGAAAUGCAAACAAAGGGAUUCGGCGAAAAGCCGAAAUUGCUUGCUAUUUGGACAGCAGUAGGCUAAUUUUGAAAAAUCGCCAUAAAUUUUGAAAAUUGAAUUAGAGGAUGAAAAAAUAUGGAAUUAAAGGUUAUUGAGUCUAGUGUCUCAUAGAAGAAAUGGUGUAAGUAAUGAAAUUGUAAAUCGUGAGAUAUAAUAAUGUUUGUGAGACAAGGUUAGAAUGAAUUCGAGUUCCCCUGUUCGGACUUUGGAAAAUAAUCAAAAAUUGGAGAAAAAUAAUUAUAGGUUAAAAUUUACAUGUUUAUAUUAUUAAUGAGUCUAUUUUCAAUAGAAACAAAUGGGUACUUUAUCCAAAUUUUGUACUAAGAGAUCAUUAUUUUUUAGCAAAGAAGGGUCGAAGCUGUCAGACAGCAGAGUAGAGGUAAGUUUGAAGAUUUUACUAUACUUAUUGGGUGAACCAAAAAUUCUAUAAAUUUUAUGGUAGAAAGGUAUUUGAGUGUAUUUUCAAAGACAUCAAGUGGAUUUUAAUUUGGAAUUUUGUAGCUCAAGAUAUAAAUAAUUUAGUAACAGUGUCUCAAGUAGACAGCUUUGGAGGAACACAUAAGUAAAUAGUGAAACAUAUAUGAAUAUUUAGCUAGCACAGGGUACAUUAAAAAUGGAUCACGUGGCCAAGGCCAAUUUGGGUCGAUUGGGUUACAUGGUCGAGUGGGCCACAUGGGCGUGUGAGCCUAUUCCUCUAAAAAGUUCUGUAAGGUUGCAGGGGUCGCCCAAGUCGAUGGUGGACCUAUUGUAGGGUCGGUAAGCUUUACUUAGACCCCUAAAUGUGUGAUCUGUUUGACCGAUUUCUAUACCGAGCAUGACUUAUGAUAUCUGAAUGUAUGUACUGUUAAUUGCAUAAUGGCAUGACAUAUUUUGUAUGUUGCAUUUCAUCGGGGUGGGUUGAUGAUAUUUGGAGGAAGUGUCUGAAAGGCUAUUAAGCCUAUUAUUUGGUAGCUCAGCUGCAACCUUCUGAUUAUGUGCCGCAUUUCGGUACAGCAUGGUGUGUAGGGAUGGGUGGGUUGAUUUAAUCCCAACAUGGUGUGUAGGGUUGGACGGAGAUGGUGUGUAGAGGCUGGUGACUAGGAUUCUGAUUUACUGUAUCUGCAUUCUAUAUAUGAUAUGGGCCAAGCCCUAAUAUAUUUCGGAGACUGUGUCUAAAUGGGCGAAGGCCCAAACUAAUUUUGUGAUGGGCACAGGGCUCAAACUGUAUCUAAAUAAAUUUUGUUGAUUAUCUGUAUGCAUAUUUUUUGUGGGGAUUACACACUGAGUUUGCGAAAACUCACCCUUUCUCUGUUUAAUCUGUACACGUAAUCCCCACACUUGACGGGUCGGUGCAGCGGAGGACUCGACGGUGGCCACACGUAAAUUUCAAAUUGUUUUCCGUUAAUGUCUAGAAUGUAUUACUUAUUUGCGGUUUUUUAUGUAACUUUUCGACUAUGGACUGGUUGGCUUUAAAUUUGGGACUUUAUACUGUUUUUAUGGAUUUUUUUAAACUGUAACUCAACAAAACACGGUUUUUCUAAAAACUAAGGUUUUCAUAAAUAGAAACAAUUUUCCCUAAAUUAAUUGGUUACAAAAGCUUCCUCUAAGAGACAAGUUUUAAAGCAAAUCAACUAGCACUUAUUUUUUCCGAAUUAAAUAAAAGUUAACUAGCUGUAACGAUUUUAACUUGACAAUCUUGUCUUCAAAUCCCAUUCCAUUCCGCAUCGCCAGAUUCGGCCAUAAUGUCUAGCUCGAGUAUGGGGUGCUACACUAACCCAAAUUUGUUUAAUGGUGUUUCUUCAUUACAGGACUUCAUGGAUCCAUUGACGGACUUUCAAUUAUAUUACUCUACCAUCGAUAGACGAUUUUACUUGUGGGAAAAAGGUAAGUUGAAUAUUGAUAAUUCCCCACAAGUGCUACAAGAUAAAGAAUGUAAGGAAACAACAUAAAUUAAUUUAAGAAGGCAUACCUUGAAUGUUUUUGAUAAGUAUGCUACGGAUUUUGUUUGUCAAAUAUUUUCUUACAACAUGUUUUCUCAUUUGUCAAAUUUCAUUAAACCAUGUUCUGAAAGUUCAACUGAUUUUAUGGGUUUAUCUACCUUUGUAAAGGUUAAAAAUAGUAAUUUUGUUGCAUCAAAUAGGUUUUUAAAAGCAUUUUAUAUAUCUCCUCUUACAACAAAAUUUUCUAUCUUGACCAUUAACGAUGAAUUUUUACAUAAUAAUAUUAAUAUUUUUAUUUUUAUAAUUAUGUGAAAUUCUUGACUUAUCGUUCGAAAAUUCUUAUGGAUGACCGUGCAUAUUCAAAAAAAGUUACAAGUUAUUUUUUACUUGAACACUCAUGUUCAUUAUAUUUCUUUGUUUAGUGUUGAGGGUUUGUUUUUGAAUAAGAGAUACUUGAUCCAUGCUGAUUUGGGAGAUCAAAAUCAUAUAUUUGAUCCUAAAAAUAAUUUUGGCGCACAAGAAGGCUUAGGUAAGUAUUUGUUUCAUUUGAUUGUUAUUUAUUCUAAUCCCUUUUAAUUUUGUGUAGCUAAAGAUUCGGGGACAAAUCUUCUUAAGGAAGGGGGGAAUGAAGCGAGUCUCAAUGCCCAAUGUUAGACCCAUGAAUGUGAUGGGAUCACACUACCUCAAGGCUCAACAACAAUGUCAAAGGCUAAGCAAAUCAAAUCAGCUUUUGAUCAAAUACAAGUUCGAGGAUGAAUCUUUUUGAGGAAACGGGGAAAGAUACAUGCACGGAUCGAGUGAAAUUUAUUAAAUUUCAUUCACUGAAGCUGUCAAUUUUCAAGCUUGGGAAAUUAGUAGACUUGUGAUGACUUUUUCAAUGGGAUCUUGACAUUUAUGGGUUGAGAUGUCUCAUGGCGUUUGAAGAUGUAUCUCUUAGCCUUGAAAUGCAUUUUAAGUCACUCGAUUUUGAGUCUAGGAGCUCAAGUUAUGACCGUUUUAGUGAAGACUAUACGAGCAGAAUUUUUGAACGGGAUUAUGACAGGAAUUACAAGUUUCGGGCUUUUAAUUCGAGUUUAAAUCAUAUUGGGUUCGGGUUUUAGGCUUAAUUUUUAUUACAUAUGAGCCCAAUAUUGUAUUUAUCAUUACUUAUUAUUUUAUUUCAAUUGUUUUAUAAUUAUUAAUUAUUUUAAGUUAUUUAGGAGUUUUAUGUUAACAAGAAAGUUUAGUUUAAAACUACUUCUUAUUUAGAUUAAAUUAGAGUUCUAGUAUACUUAAGAGUUUUAUUUAGAUUUAUUUAGCUAGCCUAUAUAUAGGUAUUUGCAUUGCACACAAUUCAUUCAAUUCAUUAUUAUUCAACUUCUCUUUUAAGUUUAUAAUUUAUCUUUAAGUUUUCUUUUUUUAAGAAUUUCUCUUGAGUUUCUUUUAGAAGAGUUUUAACAAUCUUUUUAGAUUGUGGGGGUCAUAUUCAAACUUUUUCUUGCCAAGGUUUCUAUCUUGAAAGGGAAAUUAGAGCCACUUGAGUGGGGUUGUGGAUUCUUCAUGUUUCUGAGGCUUCUUAGGACUUCUACACGCCACGUUCUAUCUUUUCAUAUCUUCUUUAUUUUCUUCCUUAUUGUUUUAAUCAUAGAUUUAUUAUUCUAUUUUAAUUAUCUUAGUUAUUUAGUUUAAUUAUUUUAUCUAACUUGGAUUUAAUUGCCUUCCAAGUUUCUUUCCGAACAUCUAGAGCCCUAAGUCAAAUCUGUGACUUUGACAAACUUUACAAUCCGCUUCUGCAUUCAUCCGUCUCAUUCUUUAUCAUUUGGUAUUAGAUUUUGGCGUUUUAGGUUUUCUUUUUUUCUUUUAUAAACUGAUUUCUAGCAAACAACCUCAAUACAAUUUUUUUACAUCGACUAGCUACCCAAGUGUUGAGCUAUAAGAAUCCGGUAAGUCUAUGGCAAAUUGAUGAGGUAACAAAUGGGACCAUACCUCUAGCAGGUAUAACGACAGGUAGAAUCUUGACCUUCCUCCACCAUAAUACUUGGGAUGCCUCAUGAGGAGGCCCCUGCACCACAGCAUCCUCUGCAUUUCCUUUUCCGUUGUAGUGCACCUACAUUCACCAAUUGCAUCGAUUCAUCUACAUCCCUUAGGUGUUCAAGGAUUUGCUCUUUAUUACUCCUAGUCAUUGUUGUUCUCCUGGAUUAGUCGUUCUCGCUCUAUUGUUAAUGGUAGAGUACCUACCUUCAUCAUUUUGUGACGUAGACCUACCAGUUUAUCCUCCUUUCUUGACAAGUUUAACAAUUUUUUCGAUGACAUCGCAAAAACAAUGAUGAAAUAAAGCAAAUCUUAAACUGCAUUUACUAAGAAGAAGUUCUAAGUAGCAGAAAAAUAAGAACUUUAAAAUGACAAUGUGGUUUCAAGGAAGAUAAAGUUCUUGAUUUAUAGAUUUUUCAAUGCUCCUUCUUAAAUGCACAAUUUUGGGAACCAAUAGCAUCUUGCCACCUAUAUAGUUUCAAAUACUCUUCAUCAUGGUUGUUUUUUCAUAAAAAUACUUUGCAUUUAUGAUAGUUAUUGUCAGACCCCAAGUUUAGCGGAUCCAAGGUUAAGGUGUAUAGUAAUGAAAUAAUUUGUUUGGCGAAGUGUAAUUCUCCCAAUUGCUUAUUUUGGAAAAUAUGUGCAGGUGUAUACUAAACAUCGUGUAAAUAAGUGAAAAAUCCAUUUGAGAUUAUUCUAUUAUUUAAAAAUAAAAAAAUUUUAAGCAACAUGGUAAUUAUGGUAUGAAUUAUAACCGAAUGCAAAGUACGCCUUGCAUGCCUUAGUACUGUGUUGCUUGGGUUAUAAAGUGACCUGGUUAAGAACCAACUAGAUUGACUGGUCUAACCUCUAUAAUGAAGGAUUUUCAUUAAUGUUUCUCUCGGAAUCUGUAGGUCAUUAAGAAAGACAAAUUCUGAAUUAAGUCACACUUGUUGAGUUCCACUAAGCGAGGUUGGGUUAUAUAUGUGUGAGAAGGGUUCUGAAAUAAGAUUCUACUUUCUCAAAAAUGUUACUCUUUGAUUUUUUUCUUAAAUCCAAUUGUAUGUCUUCCUCAUUAAGCUAGAAGCAAAGGUUCUUAGUUUAACCAGUGGUCAUUCCAUCUCCAGGUAAGUAUUACAGAUGUGCAUGCUAGGUUCUGAAAGUGUAAGUCUGUAAAAGGUAUAUGAAUAGUAAGUUGUAAGUACAAGGCUUUGCGUGGGGGUUAUUAGUUAUUGAGAUGAUAGUAAUUUGUAUGUGAAUGAGUUUUUAUGGUGAUCAUAUGUUCUUUAAGCAGUUGUUGUUGCUGGUUCAAAAAGGAUAUCUAAGUCUAGAGUUUCAAUCUUUAGUGGGUGAGUAUCAGGUGAGUCUCUAUCCUGACUCUUGCAUAUGUAAUGUACAAAUAGAAUGUUGGUGGUAAGCAUGGAAGUAAUGUCUUAUAUGAAAAGUAUGAAUUAGUUAGGAGUGCAAAAAAAAUUGGGUAAGUGAAUACUGAAUAAACUUUCAUUUGGGAUGCCUCUAUUAGGGCAGUUAUAUUGCUAACCAGUGUGACGCCCUCAACCCGACCUGAUUCAAUAGGUCCAAAUCUCAGGUUUUACACAUACACUAAUUAAUAAUCUAAAAAAUUGUUAACAAUUUCUCAUUUCUCUAAUUAUUUUAUUUAACCUUUUAACUAAAAAUUUUAUCAUUUGAUAACCAAAGAAGUGUUAUAAAAUAACUUGUUACAACAGACUUGAUACAAAUCUUUACAAUAUAGAAGUUUAUUAAGGACGAUCAUACAAGGCACAAUCCUAGACUACGGCAUAUUUCCACUGUAUGCAUAAUAGACCUCUUCGCCAUUACGUUGGCAUACUCCUAGCAUCAUCCUUCCUGGCGCAACUUGUGUCGAAUACUUGAAACAACAAUGAACAUGGUAAGUUUAAGAGAUCUUAAUAAACCUUAUCACGGAAUUACCUGGGUGGAUACUUUAUUUUCUUAUAAGAACUUCUAUUCCUCGACCAUCCUUCUGAAUCAUUUAUUUCGAGCGGAUUUCUCUACAAUAUUCUUUAUCUAACUAACUGAAGAUCCUUCCAAACAUUUUGUAAAUACCUUUAUUUCAUAUAUACUUCUCAAAAGAUCAUACCUUCAGAUACAUCACAUCUGGUGAAUACUUAUAUAGAACUAAUUACCAUCAAUUUAUUAACCAAGUCAUUUCUAAAUUCAAUAUCAUACAACCCACACUUGUAAUGCACCACAUAAACCCAUUAGAAGAAUUCCACAUUAAUUAUUUUCAGAAACAUAUAUACUCAGAAUACCCAUAACUUAGACUUUAUACAAUUUCAGAAAAGAUCAUUACAAUCGAAACAUAACCUCAAUAUGACAGAUUCCAAGUAACUUUGAUUCAAUCAUUUCAUAACACAGAUAAUCUCACAUUGACAAUUUCUUAUGCCACACAUAACUACAAAUAUAACCAUAUCUAACGUUGUCAGAUCAUUGUGGUAGAUACCUUCAUUAUCAUAUAGCUACACAGUUCUUUCCAAAAACUUAUUCAAUUAUUUCACAAAUCUUACUCAACUCAUAAACCUGGGCAUAUCAAUACCUUAUCUCAGCCAACCUUAUUACAAAACUAACAAAAUUUAUCCAUAUCUUACAAUAAAGAUAGAUAUACACAGCGUACCAUGCAUGAUAGACCACGCCACAAGGGCCACACAGAAUACACCAUAAAGGCAUCAUACAAAAUCUCGUGUUUACUAUCCCGACGGACUUCACAGAAGGUGUCAUGGGUUUCUACCUUAUGGACUUAUAUAGAGAUUCAUGUACCGUAAUCUUCCAUUUCAAUUCAUACAUCAUUGAGGGCUACACCAUGAAUAUUCAAACAGACAUAUAAUGCCAUGGGUCUUAACCACAUGGUCUUAGAUACAUUCAUGUGUCAUGUUUUGACAAUAUAGUCUCCAUCUUACUGGAGGUUAUAGCAUGAAAGUUUCCAAAUCAUAGCAAGCUACCAUGGGCCUCUACCUCAUGGUCUUACACUAGGUUUCAAUCUAUAACAUGCCAAUCUGGUUAGCUAUAUAACUGCCCUACCAGAGGAUUCACAAUAGAACGUUAGCUCAGUAUUUACUUACCCAGAUAAUCACCUUCUUACAAACUCAUACACCUCCUAUACCAGACUUUUACUUGCAUGCUUAUUAAAUAGUAAUCCUUUAAUAAAACUUUAUGCAUAUUAUUACAGAGCAUCUCUCAUCCUUACUAUACCCAGAGCCUUACCAUUUUCCAUGGACAUGAUUAUCCCAUCUAUGAAUGUGCAUAUAUUUAUACUUCUUAUUUGAACAAUUCACAUAAUAGAGUCAAGAUAGUGACUCACCUUAACUCACCUACUACAGUUCUAAGCUCCAGACUUAUACAUCCCUUUUGAAUCAGAAGUAACAACUACUUAGAAACAUAAAUUUACUAUUACAACUCUUAUACAUACAAUUUACUUAUCAUCUCAAUCGCGGAUAACUUCAUGCAUAACUUGUAUUUAAAGCUUUACUGUUCAUACAACUCUUAUAGUCUUACACUUUUAGAACUUAACAUGCAAAGGCAAAACACUUACCCAAAGAUGGAAUAACCACUAAUUAGAUCUAGAAUCAAUGUUUCUAGCUAAAUGAGAAAGGGAUACAUUUAUACUUUCUAACGAAAGAAUUAGAGAGUAGUGUUUUUAAGGAAGAAGAAGAACCUCCCUCAAAACCCUUCUCACACAUAUAAAUAUGACCCACUUACCUAGUUGGACUUAACAACUGCCACACAUUUUAGAACUUACCUUAUUAAUGGUCUACAGUUCCCGAGAAAAUUAUAAAUAAGUACCUUGUAUUCACAAUUAUCGGGCUAGGCUAUCUAGUUGAUAUCUAACCAAAAUACUUAUGAUCUAACUAGUACAGUACUCUAAACAAACAACAUGUAUUACAGCUUUGGCGCCAACUCAUACCAUACUUAACCUUUAUCGCCUAACACAAACUUCUCCGUAAUAUAUUAGAGUAGCAUGAAACAAAAUCCUUACCUACAUAUCUGGCAGUUACUAAACGCCCGCAUGUAUAUGCCACAAUAAGAAAUUGGGAAGAUUACACUUCGCCAUAUAGACUAUUUUACUACUAUGCGCCAAAACCUUAGACCCACCAGACUUAGGGUGUUAUAACCAAAUUUGUAGACCAUGAUAUGAAAACAAGUGUAAGACCAUGAGGUUGAGACCCAUGGCAUCAUAGGAUAUGAAAACACUCAUGGUGUAUCCUCUAGUAAAACGAAGACUGAACUAGAAGAUCAUGAUACAUGAAAGUGUGUAAAUUCAUGUGGCUAAGACCCAUGGCAAGUAAGAUUGUAUGAAUGUUCAUGGUGUAGCCUUUGAUAAUGUGUAGAUCAAACUGGCAGAUCACGAUACAUGAAAUUUAUGUGCAAGUCCAUAAAAGAGAAACUCAUGGCACCUUUUGGGAAAAAUUAGUCGGAAUAUUAAACAUGUGAUUUUGUAUGUUGCCCUUGUGGUGUAUUUUGUUUGGCCCUCGUGGCGUAUUCUACUAAGUUCGUAUGGUAGAAUAUGAUUAUCCACCCUUAUGGUAUGUUUUGGAUAAAUUCUGAGUGUUCUGUGAUAGAUGUUACUAUGAUAAGGUUAUGAUUCGUCCGAAGUUAAUUUGGUUGAAUUAGAUCUGUGAUGUAACCAAAUAAGUUUCUAAGGAAGUUCUUGAAAAUAAGUGUGUAUCUUUAUGUUCAAAAAAGGGUAUCCACCAUGGUAAUUUGUUAGUUUUGAAUAUGGGUGUAUUUGUGGUUAUGAAAGACAUUAGAAAUUAUCAAUUUGAGUUCGACUGUGUUAUAUAGUGCUGAAAUUUGAGUAUCUGGUAUCCGCCAUAUCUGAAGAAUAAUAUGUCUUAAUCUGAAAUCUUAUGGAAUCUGAGUUGUUUGUUACCUUGGGUAGAUUUGUGUUCUGUAACGAUCUGGAUAAUUCAUUAUCAGUAUAAGCAUGCAUUAAGGUUGAAUUAGAAAAUGAUUGGAUUUGGUAAAUUGAUGGAAUCCAACUCAUCGUGGGAAUCUAUCAAAGGUGUAAGAAUCUACCAGUAAACAGUAUCUGUGACCAGCAGUUCUGGAAUCAGUGUAUGUGUGAAGAGACGGUCUAUAUAAAAUAGGCUCUGAAGGUAUAUUCUUUUAAAAAGUACUUUUGUGUUUUUUAAGAGAAAGAAGAGAUUAAUGAAAUGUCUGGAAGAAUCUCAAGUCAAUCAGGUAAUUAAGAGAGAACUGGUACACUAAGAGUAUGGUAGUUAGCGUGUAAGUCUAAGCCUAUAAUUGUGAAAGCAUUUGCCGAAAAUAGAAGUAAGAUGUUGAGAAUGGUAGCUGGCACAUAGAUAUUCAUUCGAUAUUAUAAAAGUAUCCACCAAGGUAUUCUAUAUUAACUAUCACUAAGUUCUCCUAAAUUUACAAAUGUUAUAUUUAUGUUUUAGGUAGUGUGGUAACGGAAUACGCCGGGAGUGACGACACCAGGAGUGUGCCAAGGUAACGACAAUAUGGACUAUUAAACAUACAAUGGACUAUUUGUAAAUGGGACAUAUUACAGAAUUACACCCUAGGAAACUAUCUUUAGUAAACUUUGUUUUGUUAAUGUGUUGUAACAAAUUUGAUGUAAUAUGUUAUUUCUAAAUACUAUCUUUUGUUUCUUUGAUUUUGAGUCUUUAAAUAAAAUUAUAAGAAUUACAUUUUUAAAUAAGGAGUACUCACCAAUUGUUUGAAAUUUAGCUAAGUGAUUUGUGUUGUAACACCCAAGAUCAGGACUUGGUAAUUUGGGUCGGGUUGAGGGCAUUAUAGUUACUCUAGUAGGAUUCUAGUGCUUCUUCAUCUUCUCUGGUAAUGCAAACACUCUCCCAUUAUUAAAUGCCUAAAUUCAGAUCAUGUCUCACCGAAAGCCAUUCUAUAACCUCCUGUUUAGGUUAGGGGGUUAUUAUUAUAUCCCUCCACCAUGAAGACACAUGUCAGUGCCAGAAACAUCAUUAACUCUCUUAUUGACUUUGAUUGAAGAUAAUCCUCACCUGACCAUCCAUCUAUUCCUUAAGGAAUCUGACCACACUUUCCCAAUGUGAACACAGUUUCAAGACAAUAAAGAGUCUAUUUAGGCAUAACAAUCUCGUACUAAUAGAGUCCCAUGAUAUACGACUAUCAUCCUUUACGCUUUUAGCGAGGCUAAAUGUAUAUCCUACCACGUCAUAGUAAUAGAAAAGAGGAUCUCUCCAAUAAAUACCUUGAAAAACGAGAAAGAAAUGAUCGACCCCUGACACCCUAAAGUUACUUUGAGCAAUUAUUUUCUCAGUCAACCUGUCUUCAUCCCAGAUCUAACUCUCGACCUCCUCUGCAGCACCACGAUCCCCUCCUUAACCUUCUCCCUUACUGUACAUUGUAUAAAUAAGAUAUUUAUAUUCAACUACAUGUUUGGCAGGCUAGUUGAUUUCUAGAUAAUAUUUAAACAUAUUAUAUCCAAGUUGCAUUCGUUUUAUUCUAUUGAAAGUUCACUGUUUGUUUUUAUAUGGUAUUGAUUAACAUUACAUUUAAAAAAAAUUAACUAACCCAAUUUAUUUUGAAUUUAAUAAAAACAAUUCAUAAAAUAAUAAUACAUAAGUUUUAAUUAAUGCUGAUAAAAACCGUCAACACAUCAAAUUAAUUGAAUCCUGGGUCUCUGCAUAUUUUAUCAUUCACUCUAUAUAUUUAAGUAAGCAUUAUUGAAAACAAGAAAAUAAAUAAAUAAGUAGAAGACAAACUGAUACAAUAUUUGAACUCACCAAUUUGCGAUUUACUAAGAACUUCUGGGAUGCUUAUUUUGACUAGUACCAAUUCAAUGAAAAUUAAUAACAAUGUUGGAUAUAAAUCCAAUUAAAAAAUGAGAAUAAUAAUUUUUUACGCUUCAAGUUCAGUGUAUAAAUAGCAUCCUAGUUCUCUAUCAUCUCACACCUCAACCACUCAAUCAUCCACUUCUUCUCUUCUUUGAACUCAAAGUCCCAGUUAAUAUUAGAAUCAUGGGUGUUGUCACUUAUGACUAUGAGUCUACCUCCCCAGUCGCCCCUUCCAGGCUUUUCAAGGCCUUUACUGUUGAAGCUCCGAAAGUUUGGCCCACGGCUGCACCUAAUGCAGUCAAGAGUAUUGAGGUUGAAGCUAAUCCUAGCUCUGGAAGUAUCGUAAAAAUCAACUUUGUUGAAGGUUAGUUCUUUCAUUGGCCUUUUUGUAGUCUGUUUUACACGAGUAUGUUGGAUAACAAGUAUUUAUUUGUUUAGGCCUUCCAUUCCAAUAUAUGAAGCACCAGAUAGGAGGACAUGAUGAAAGUAAUUUUUCAUACAGUUACGAUUUAAUCGAAGGUGGGCCUUUGGGGGACAAACUUGAAAAAAUCAGCUAUGAGAACAAGUUUGAGGCAGCUGCAGGUGGAGGAAGUAUUUGCAAGAGCUCAAUGAAAUUCUACACUGUUGGCGACAAUGUAAUCACUGAAGAUGAAAUCAAGGCUCUCAUUAAGGGAAGUGAGGGAGUUUACAAGCCUGUUGAAGCUUAUCUAUUGGCUAAUCCUGAAUCCUGCAACUAGGAUAUUGGUUGCUUUGAAUUCUGAUUCUUGGUUUUAAAGAGUGGUCAUUGCUUUUAAUGGUGUGUUUUUUAUAUUUUCUUUUUCCUUUUAAAACCUAAAUUGUCUUCUAAUUAUUUACAUAAGAGUGGUGGUGAUCGAGCUUUUGUCAUCUUUAUUUUCAUUACAGUCAAAGAAUUUGGGUUGUCUUUGACAUAUAUAGAAAUAAAAUAAACAAAUAAACUCAAAAAAAGAAAAAAAAAGGUUUUACCUGGUAUAUUGAUGAGUGAAAAUUCACAAUCCAUAUUAGAGAUGUGCAUUCGGUGGUUGGAACGAUUUGAUUAUUUUAUAACAAUAAUCGAAUAAAUAAAAAUUUUUACUGCAAUUGAAUUAAUCGAACCAAACUUAAAAAGGUAAAAAUGAAACAACCGAACUGAAUUUAGUCAAUUCGAUUAGAUUUAGUUAAUCGAUUUUUGCUUUUUUUGGUUUUUAACUUAGUUGAACUCCACCGAUCCAAAAAUUCUUCACUGUUCGUGUCGGCAUGUUUGUUCCUCACAGAAUGGGAGCAAACAGUAGCCGCCUUACCUUUUGCUAUAAAAAGGAUUUUAGUCUUUGCUUUCAAAAUCAUCCCAAUCUCUCCAAGAAAGUGUGUAAUCUUUAUUUGUUUAGGCCUUCCAUUCUAAUAUAUGAAGCACCAGAUCGAAGGACAUGACGAAAAUAAUUUUUCAUAUAAUUACAGUUUAAUACAAGGUGGGCCUUUGGGGGACAAGCUUGAAAAAAUUAACUAUGAUAACAAAUUUGAGGCAGCUGCAGGUAGAGGAAGUAUUUGCAAGAGCUCGAUGAAAUUUUACACUGUUAGGGACAGUGUAAUCACUGAAGAUGAAAUCAAGGCUCUCAUUAAAGGAAGUGAAGGAGUUUACAAGCCUGUUGAAGCUUUACCUCUUGGCUAAUCCCAAAGCUUGCAACUAGGAUAUUGGUUGCUUUGAAUUCUCAUGCUUGCUUUUAAAGAGGGAUCAGAUUUUAACUGUGUGCUUUUGAUAUUUUCUUCUUUGUCUUAAAACCUAUAUUGUCUUCCGAUUGUUGUAAUAAGAGUGGUGGUGGUGGAAUCAAGCUUUGAUAAUCUUUGACAUAUGAAAUAAACAAAAAUAUAAACUGGCAAAAAUAAUAAAAGCUUUACUUGGG